GGAGAUAUGCAAUUCCGUAAGCUAUCUCCAUUGCAAUCUUUAACCUCAGUGAACAUGUGACAGGUUCAAAAUUGGGUUGACGAGGAUGAUAAAUACGAUCAGCAAGAGUUCCAUAUUCAACAUAUUCAAAUACCAAAACAGGAUUUUCAGUUUCUAGGCAGCAUCCGAUCAGCCUCAUCACAUUUUUGUGAUUCAUUUGUGAUGCAAAUACAAUGUCAUUAAAACAAUAUUCAGCUGCAUAGUCGGAGUUUACAAAUUUCAUGAUAGAAACAGGAUAGUCAUGCAGAAAACCCUUGAAUAAUUCAUAGCCCAAUCCAGUUGUUAUAACUUUCUGUCUGUCAUAAUUUUUUGUUGCUAUGUUGAGCUCGUUUUCAUGGAAACAACGAAUAGGGUUGCGUUUAUUAUCACAAGAUUUGAUCAAUUUUUCAAGAAAAACUUUGCCAUUCCUCAACAUGAAUGUCUCCUUAUCAGCCUUGCCCAGAUGCUUGAUCUUCCUAAAAAACGAACUCAUCUAAUACCUAUUCAGAAACCAAUGAAAUGCUUUCACUGAAUUGAAAUAAGAUAAAAACUAGUAUAGUAGUACAACUUUUAAAUGUUCUAGUAAGUUUUCAGGAAAAAGAAAUAUUUUCGUCAGUGACGUUUCAUAUUUAAUAUGAAGUAAAGAGAAAAUAUUGAUUGUAUAUUUCAUCUGAUUCCAGAAAUGUAACAUUAGAAGCAUAUAAAUGACAACAUAGCGCCGUACACACAGAUGUACUUGAAGAAAAUGAAGCAGAGCAUUGAAAGAUAUACCUUUGGGUGGCCAAUUCCAGUGUUCAGAUAAAGGAGAUAUGGCACUUACAAGUCUGGGAAAGAAGCUCCAAAUUUGGCAUGUGUGUAUAAAAUCUGAAGCAAGACUUCAAAUAACAAAGUGAAACUUGAUAUCUUUGCAAGUCUUCCCAGUCAACCAUAUGCAAAUUUCCAUAUCUAAUGUUGACAUGCAAUGUAAAGUAAGCCACAGACAUAACAUGUGCUAAAGGCUCAUUUAUUUGUUUCAGAUAAUUGACUGUGUGCAUGUAUAAAAUGUACUGUUUUAUACCUAAAUUUGACUUGAAAUUUAAACAUAUUCUAAAUCAUUCAUCUCAUUCAAUCAAAAAGUGCAGAGAGUUACUAAGUUCGUAGGUAACACUAAACUAAAGGAAUUUAGUCAAUCAUGUAUCAUUGUUAAUAAAAAUAUACAUAUGUACGACAUAAGUUUUUGGUGAACGAAAUCUUUAUUUUCAUUAGUUUGUUUUAUAUACAUAUGUACGACAUAAGUUUUUGGUGAACGAAAUCUUUAUUUUCAUUAGUUUGUUUUAUAUACAUAUGUACGACAUAAGUUUUUGGUGAACGAAAUCUUUAUUUUCAUUAGUUUGUUUUAUAUACAUAUGUACGACAUAAGUUUUUGGUGAACGAAAUCUUUAUUUUCAUCAGUUUGUUUUAUAUUUUAACUGACAAUGAAGUUAUUAAUUAGUACAGACUAGAGUGACAUUUUGAUUUGCAAAAAUAUUAGAUACAUUUUUAAAAAUUUUCCCUUUUUUUGUCGCACAUAUAUGGCGCAUUACUACCAUAUAUAAUAAGCUCAAUAAAUUUUUGUUGGCUGCCAUUUCCAAAAUGAAUGUGCUUGCCUAAUUUAUGUUUUAUGAGCAGUACAGUGGUUUUCAUGUGCUUUGAUGAUAUGGUAACUUUCUGGUGAAUUUAUACGAGGAAAGACACAAAGAAUUAGUUAGUAAGGUCAUGAAUUUAUCUAUUCCUAGUUGUUAAUUACCUCAUCCUAUUUUCUUUUUAUAAUUGUCAAUGAAUUAAAUUCUUUGGGGUUUAAGGUAUCUCAUUUAGUAACUUUACUCCUUGAAUUAGAUUUUGAAAAACAUGGUAAGAUAAUAAGGUAACAACUUAGUAAGAUAAAUUCUUGACCUUAUACUAAUUAAUUCUACGCGUCUUUCCUCUUAUAAAUUCAUCCCAAAAUGACCAUACCGGAGCACAGGAAAAUCAUUGUUCAUAAAAAAGAAACUAGCCAGAUAUCAUUGAUUUUGGAAAUGGCAGACAAGAAAACCAAAGGGAGACAAAAGAUUGAGAUGAAAAAGAUUGAGAGUGAGGAUGGUAGGCUGAUCACGUUCUCAAAACGUAGAUCUGGGAUCUACAAGAAGGCCAGUGAGCUUGUGACUCUCACGGGCUCUGAGAUUGCCAUUCUUGUGUUCUCACAGUCUGGAAAGCCUUUCUCAUUUGGCCACCCCUCCAUUGAAGCUGUUGCAAACCGCUUCGUGGGGUUGAACCAACCAGCAAAUGACAACACUCAUCCGCUGGUUGAGGCUCACCGCCUGGUGAGAAUUAAUGAACUCAAUCAGCAGCACAAUGAGCUGCUUCGCCAAUUGGAAGAGGAAAAGGAACGGGAGAAGGUAUUGAAGCAGAUGAGGAGGGGGAAAGAGACUCAGCCGCGUUGGUGGGAAACUACAGUUGAUGAGCUCAACCAUCAGGAGCUGCUUCAAAUGGAUGCAACAAUUGAUAAUCUGCAUAAAACUUUUCUUGCCAAACUCAAUGAAAAGACUGCUGCUGCCUCUUCCUCUAUGGCACCUCCUAUGUAUUUUCAUCAUAAAUGAUAUUUCAUAUUUUCCUUUUGAUUUGGUAUUUGUCUAUAAAAAUCUGAUGAAGCUGCAGGUCCAAAUGAUAAACUUGAAAAAUGAGAAGGCAACUUACUGUUGUGUCCAAAAUUGGAUAUAAAAUGCUAAACAAAACUAUCAACCGUGAGAAAUAGAAUUUUCACCAUGACGGCAAAUGCCUAUGACAUAAUUUGAGAAAAAAACUUAAUUGAUGUUCCCUGGAUAUAAUUAAUCUGGUCAGAAUCAUUAGCAAUCAUACUCUAAGUUAAUUUGUUGUUCAAAGUAAUUAUUAAAUGAAUAGUAGUUAUACUCAAAUUAAUCUGUAGUUAUACUCAAAUUAAUCUGUCAUUCAAGUAAUUAUUAAUUUAUUCGCUUUUUCCACGACAUCAUCGAGAUAUUUAUAAAUCAUGAGAGAAAGUAAAUAAAUAUAUUCCCGGAAAAAAAGUGGGCCGCAUAGGAAGUCUAUUUAAUUUUAAAUAUAUUUGAAAUUCCUCCACUUGAAGGAGAAAGGAUCAAUGGCACAUUCAAAUCACACGAGUUUAUGCUACAGAUAUAACAUAAGGAACAUAUUGAAGAAAUUUUUAUUCCAAAGUUAAAUAGGAUUUUCUUUUUUAAAAGAGAGAGAGAGAGAGAGAACAAGAACAAAUAAGAAAAUGGAGAGGUGAGAUGAAGGAAAAAGAACAGUUAAAAAAAAAGUUGAGAAGAGAGAAUAUGGAAAAAAAUCAUGGAAAUUAAUGCGCAAAACUUAAUGUUCCAUGUCAUUUAAUACUUAUAUAAUCUUCAAUCUUUGAUCUAAUGGUUUAAAAUUCGUGUAAAAACCUGUGCAAUUUAAGGGUUCAUUAAUCCAUCCUUUGUUUGAAAUUUGAUUAAAAACAAAGCCAAGGAAUUUAGUGGGUAAUCAAAAUAUACACAGGUAAACACCUAUCUACACACACAAGUUAGGGAUAGAAAUUAAUGAAAAAUACCUACUAAACAUUAAUCCUUGUCUCAGAAUUUUACUUGAACUCAGCUGAUUGGAUUGAAAGUGAAUUCACAUCCAAUCGAACUCGGCCUAUGGGAAUUUUUGUUACACAUAAUUGUUUGUGAAACAAAGGAAUAAUUCUUUUGAAAUUAAAAUCUUAACACAAAAUUCACAACCAUUCAAGUAAAGUAGAAUUAUGAAGAAAUUGAAAAAGUGAAGUUAAAUUAAAUUUAUCUCGGAGUACCAAUUGUGGUAUAGUUAUUUGACAUGCCAUAUGAAGUAUGAUAGAAUGACAUGAUCGUAGCAACAAGAGAGAUAAAGAACAGAUGAAGAAACUAGGAAUAUAUGCUUCAUAAAAUUACAUUUCAGAACGAUGCAUUAGCCUAAGUUGUUUUGCCACAUCUACCAUUGUAGGUCUAUCAUCUGCUGAUACAGAGAGACAAUUGAAGGCCAGCCUUGUGAAAGCUUUCAAUUUUUGCUCUUUUGCUGAGCAUAAUCUUUCUCCAACAAUUUCGGGAUCCACUAUCUCAGUGAACCUACUCUUCUUAAUAUAUUUUCUCACACGAUCAGACAAAAACCACCCAUCUUCAGUUUCUCGAUCAACCGCCCUCUGUCCAGUCAAGAGCUCAAGCAGCAACAUACCAAAACUAUAAACAUCACACUUCUCAUUGCAAUCACCUGUUGCAAUGUAUUCAGGAGGAAGAUAUCCAAAUGUUCCCAUCACCCUGCCUCUUAUGCGUGUUUCACCCUCUGGAAUAGAUUCAGAGUACGAAAAAUCAAACAGUUUGGCAACAGAUUGUUCCUGAAAUAAAAUAUUCGAUGGUUUUACGUUUCUGAAAACAAUAGGCCUGGAGAAAGCAACAUGGAGAUAUGCAAUUCCAUAAGCUAUCUCCAUUGCAAUCUUUAACCUCAGUGAACAUGUGACAGGUUCAAAAUUGGGUUGACGAGGAUGAUAAAUACGAUCAGCAAGAGUUCCAUAUUCAACAUAUUCAAAUACCAAAACAGGAUUUUCAGUUUCUAGGCAGCAUCCAAUCAGCCUCAUCACAUUCUUGUGAUUCAUUUGUGAUGCAAAUACAAUGUUAUUAAAACAAUAUUCAGCUGCAUAGUCGGAAUUAUAACUUUCUGUCUGUCAUAAAUUUUUGUUGCUAUCUUGAGCUCGUUUUCACGGAAACAACCAAUAGGAUUACGUUUAUUAUCACAAGAUUUGAUCAAUUUUUCAAGAAAUACUUUGCCAUUCCUCAACAUAAAUGUCUCCUUAUCAGCCUUGCCCAGAUGCUUGAUCUUUCUAAAAAACGAACUCAUCUAAUACCUAUUCAGAAACCAAUGAAAUGCUUUCACUGAAUUGAAAUAAGAUAAAACUAGUAUAGUAGUACAACUUUUAAAGGUUCUAUUAAGUUUUCAGGAAAAAGAAAUAUUUUCAUCAGUGACGUUUCAUGUUUAAUAUGAAGUAAAGAGAAAAUAUUGAUUGUUUAUUUCUUCUGAUUCCAGAAAUGUAACAUUAGAAGCAUAUAAAUGAAAACAUGGCGCCGUACGCACAGAUGCACUUGAAGAAAAUGAAGCAGAGCAUUGAAAGAUAUACCUUUGGGUGGCCAAUUCCAGUGUUCAGAUAAAGGAGAUAUAGCAGUUACAAGUUUGGGAAAGAAGCUCCAGAUUUGGCAUGUGUGUAUAAAAUCUGAAGCAAGACUUCAAAUAACUAAAGUGAAAAUUGACAUCUUUGCAAGUCUUCCCAGUCAACCAUAUGCAAAUUUCCAUAUCUAAUGUUGACAUGCAAUGUAAAGUAAGCCACAGACAUAACAUGUGCUCAAGGCUCAUCUAUUUGUUUCAGAUAAUUGACAGCGUCUAUGUAUAAAAUGUACUGUUUUAUACUUCAAUUUUGACUUGAAAUUUAAACAUAUUUUAAAUCAUUCAUCCCAUCCAAUCAAAAAGUGCAGGGAGUUGCUAAGUUAGUAACAUUAAACUACCAGGAAUUUAGUCAACAAUGUAUCAUUGUUAAUAAAAACAACACGAUAUUGCAAAAGAUAUCUUUAGCAGUAGCUUUUAGGAUACAGUAACGCAACAGUUGUACGAAUUUAGAAAUAAUAUGCAUAUUAACUCCCUGAGCUAAGCAACUGUGGUAAUAACCAACUGAUUAAAUCUAGUUGCAUUGAAACCUAAGCCAGUAAUAAAUCAAGCAGAGUGAUCCUCGAUGGGCUGUAAGAAAAGAAAAAAUCCACAAACAAACAAACAUUUGAAAUAUCAACAAGAUACGAAAGGGAAAGACCAAUAAACAAAACGGGGAUUUCCAAUUCUCUCCCUGUGUAUUAAUUUUAAACACAUAGUGAAAGCUAAGUUAUAGUUAAUCCAGAGAAAAUUCAAGGUAUUAAUUGAUACAUUUUUCUAAGUCAAUUCGCCACAUGAACCAUUGUUGGCCUACUCUCUGCUGAUUCAGAGACAGUUAAUAGCAAGCUCUAUAGAUGCUUCCACUAUUCCAUCUUUUUUUACCACAUGGUCUGCCUCUAAGAAUCACCGGGUCGACUACUCUUAUCAAAUCCGUUAUGUUCAAUAUAUUUCUUGCAAUUUUUAGCCUAUGCUUCAAUUUUAAAGACUUAAAAUGUGGUUAUGUUAUAUUCAUGAGUGUUAAGGAAGCACAUAAUGAAUGGUAGAAUGUUGCACACGUGUGAGUAGAAUACAGUUAGCUGAAUUAGUUGAAGAAUGUAAUGCCAGCUCAGUAGAAGUUAGUUAAGCACACUAAGUUUCUGUUUUAGUUUGUUUUUCUCUUAUGUUAGCUGAAAACGAAUUGAAUAUAAAUAAGUGCAUUUUGUAAUCAUUCUGUAAUUAGAGAGAGAAAUAAAAAUAUGAAAUUCCAAAAGCCUCUUUAAAAUUUUCUUAGCAAUCAAAACACAUUUUCUUGGUAACCAAAUAGAUUGAUCAUUGAAAUUUCAAUCUUUCAAACAUGGUAUCAGAGCCAUACAGAGCUAGCUCUAGUAAUCAGCAAUCAAGCUUUCAUAAUCAAACAACAAACAACACAAAUCAAUUUACUCAAAUCAAUUUUUCUUUUACUAAUCCUAUUAAGCUAGAUCGAUCAAAUUACUUACUCUAGCGUUCUCAAGUUCUAGCUUCAAUUAGAGGCAAUCGUUUAGAGGAUUUUGUCACAGGAACUAGAUCAGCACUUGAUGAGUAUCUUCUGUUAACUGAAGCUAUCAUAUUUGGAGAUCACAGGAUCAGACUCUUCUUGGUUGGCUACUGUCAUCAAUAAGUGAAGGUAUUUUAAGUCUUGUUAUCAAUUGUGAGAGUUCAUUUGAUAUAUAGAGAACUUUGGAAAAGAUAUUUAGAGUUCAAUCUAAGGCUCGAGUUCUUCAGCUCAUAUAUGAACUGAAUACUCUUAAAAAGGAAGCUCUUAGUGUUGAAGAUUAUUGUAUCAAAAUGAAGGCAAUAGCUGAUAAACUUGCCAAUGCUGGUAGUCCAAUUACAAAGAAGGAUCUUAUGUUAACUAUUCUUAAUGGAUUAGGACCAGGAUAUCUUGAUAUUGCUACAUUUAUAACUGGUUCACGAAUGGAAUUUGAUGAUGCUUAUGCACUGUUACUCACUCAUGAAACUAGAUUAGAGCAGGAGUAGGAUGACAAAAGUGUGUUUAAUGCAAAUUAUGCAUAUACUAAUGCAUAUUAUCCUAAGGCUUAGUAUGCACAGUGUUGGUAAAUUUUAUAAUCAAAUACUAUUAAUGCCAAUGUGCAAGUAUACACAAUAAGUAAUAAAGUGAAAUCCAAAUAACUCUGCAGGAUUCCUCAAUGCUGCUGACGCCGUUCUCUUCAAUUAUGAUCCUAUUCUCCUUCUUUUUCUCUAAUGUCUCGAUGAUAAUUCCCUUGCCGCCGUUUUAUGUAGUACGCGCCCCUUUUUAUACUGCAAACGAGGGUAAAUAAAAGUUUGUGGGCGUGCAUGAGUUAAAUUAGGAAACAUGCAAAUUGUAAUUUUGCAGCUGACCCGCGCUUAAGUUUUCUCCCUCAGUGCUCGCAGAUUGCUAUAGCACUGGUUGCUCUAACAACAGCUACAAUACUGCAUUGUUCCUGAUUGUGCUUUACUUCUUUUGCGGCCAUCUUCUUUCCUCCUCUUACUAGUCUAAUGUCUUAUCCCUUCAUGAAUUAAGGAUUUCUGAAAACCUACAAUUAUGCACCUGUUUUGAGCACAAAUUAUUUUAAUUCAAGCAAAACUUAUUAAGACUCAACUAAAAUGAAUGUUUAUGCAAAAUAUAACCAAAAUGUAAUAAAAACAUCUUAUUUGCUCUCUAAGUGAUCUUGAUUUAAGUCUAGAAUUGAUGUAAUAACUCUCAUUUCAUAGAGUUAUCACACCCCCAAACUUAAACCUUUACUUGUCCUCAAGUAAUGACAACAUACUAACACUUCACGCAAACAAUCGUGCAACACAACUUUAGCACUUUUAUCAAAUUUGCAAGGAUUCUUCCACCUUCAGAUCACAAUCCCAAUCAUGCAAAGUGACCAUAGUAAAUCAGUUCUAAACUUAAGCUUCCUUCUGUCCACAAUGUGUGUGUGCUACUUUUGAUUGAAUUCUAGAGAUGCUAUAACAUCACCAAGAGAUUGCAUGUAAUUCAGCAGUAACAAAAUUGCAUUUAUAUAUGAGGUAUCAUAAAUUUCCCAUGCUCAAAUUGUGCUGAUUUUAAGAUUGAAAACUUGAGAGUAUUCAACCUCCUCACUGCAACAUUUAUUUUUCAUGUGAAUGUCAAUCAAUUGUAAUGAUGACACCCAAUUACUCAAACCAUGCACAGAUCAGAGUUGCUAUAGUAAUAUCUGUAAUAUAAUCUUAUCUAGAGAUAUCUUUUACUCAAGGCUGAACAUGGGGCUCAUGAACAGACUUGGCUACUCAAUUCUUUAGACAGAGGACUUUCUUGUAUUAUUGUCUUACUUUUCUCUUCUUUUUUUUUAUAAAAUGCUACAGCAUUGCUCAUAACUCUUGUUACCUUUAAACACAACUCUGCAUAUGGGGUACAUACUCAAAUCUGGUUACUCGGCAACUGGAGCCAUUGGAACAGAGUUUAUUUCAUAGAUAUCACACUCAAUCAAACUUGCUUUUCCCCCCAAACUUAAGAUCUUUUAUAUUCUUUUGGCUCUGCUCUAGCAAUCUCAUACAACUCAACCAAAGUCUAAGUGUUGGGACAGAAUUUCAACCUCUAUAUAUAACUGUCUCUACUUGGCAUUCUCACAAAUACUGAAUAACACUCAAUUUAUCUUCAUUAGGUUUUCAAAUCCAUACACAAAUAUUAGAUAACAGAACUUCACACAACACACAACAUAAGCAUAAACACCUGCACUCAGAAACACAACCCCCCCCCCCCCAANNNNNNNNNNNNNNNNNNNNNNNNNNNNNNNNNNNNNNNNNNNNNNNNNNNNNNNNNNNNNNNNNNNNNNNNNNNNNNNNNNNNNNNNNNNNNNNNNNNNNNNNNNNNNNNNNNNNNNNNNNNNNNNNNNNNNNNNNNNNNNNNNNNNNNNNNNNNNNNNNNNNNNNNNNNNNNNNNNNNNNNNNNNNNNNNNNNNNNNNNNNNNNNNNNNNNNNNNNNNNNNNNNNNNNNNNNNNNNNNNNNNNNNNNNNNNNNNNNNNNNNNNNNNNNNNNNNNNNNNNNNNNNNNNNNNNNNNNNNNNNNNNNNNNNNNNNNNNNNNNNNNNNNNNNNNNNNNNNNNNNNNNNNNNNNNNNNNNNNNNNNNNNNNNNNNNNNNNNNNNNNNNNNNNNNNNNNNNNNNNNNNNNNNNNNNNNNNNNNNNNNNNNNNNNNNNNNNNNNNNNNNNNNNNNNNNNNNNNNNNNNNNNNNNNNNNNNNNNNNNNNNNNNNNNNNNNNNNNNNNNNNNNNNNNNNNNNNNNNNNNNNNNNNNNNNNNNNNNNNNNNNNNNNNNNNNNNNNNNNNNNNNNNNNNNNNNNNNNNNNNNNNNNNNNNNNNNNNNNNNNNNNNNNNNNNNNNNNNNNNNNNNNNNNNNNNNNNNNNNNNNNNNNNNNNNNNNNNNNNNNNNNNNNNNNNNNNNNNNNNNNNNNNNNNNNNNNNNNNNNNNNNNNNNNNNNNNNNNNNNNNNNNNNNNNNNNNNNNNNNNNNNNNNNNNNNNNNNNNNNNNNNNNNNNNNNNNNNNNNNNNNNNNNNNNNNNNNNNNNNNNNNNNNNNNNNNNNNNNNNNNNNNNNNNNNNNNNNNNNNNNNNNNNNNNNNNNNNNNNNNNNNNNNNNNNNNNNNNNNNNNNNNNNNNNNNNNNNNNNNNNNNNNNNNNNNNNNNNNNNNNNNNNNNNNNNNNNNNNNNNNNNNNNNNNNNNNNNNNNNNNNNNNNNNNNNNNNNNNNNNNNNNNNNNNNNNNNNNNNNNNNNNNNNNNNNNNNNNNNNNNNNNNNNNNNNNNNNNNNNNNNNNNNNNNNNNNNNNNNNNNNNNNNNNNNNNNNNNNNNNNNNNNNNNNNNNNNNNNNNNNNNNNNNNNNNNNNNNNNNNNNNNNNNNNNNNNNNNNNNNNNNNNNNNNNNNNNNNNNNNNGCAUGAGUGUUUUGCCACUUGCGGAAUCCAAUCUCGGAGGGUGCCUCGCAUUCGCGACUCAACAAGAGAAAGAGAGGUACAAAGAUAUUUCCACGCGCAAAAUACUUCCAGCUAAGUAUAUUCAUUACCCGACUCUUGAAAAAUUGAAUGUUAAGGAUAAUUUUGAUUAUUUGAUAGAUAAGAUUGAGUUGCGUAAGUUUGUUGAUGUUGAUUGUUUGGGUUAUGUUGAGUUGAUUAGGGAGUUCUAUGCUACUUUUCAAUUUAAUAUACCGAAUGAUUUUACUUUGUAUACUCCGAAUGUUAUAAAGUUUAGGUUAAUGGGACGAAAUUUUUCACAAUCUAUCACAUAUUUUUCAUUGAUGAUGAUUAUUCUUCUAGUGAUGCAUAUUUAGGAACAACUUGUGACUGUAGCGAAAAUUUUGAACCUUAUGGUCUUUGGCGUAAUUUAUCUGUUGAUCACAAUGCCUAUGACCCGAGUAAAUCAAAGAGUUCUUUCUUACGUGAUCCUGUUUUGAAAUGUGUGCAUCAGUUCUUAGCAUAUAAUUUUUUAGGAAAGAAAGAUCACUCGGGAGUUUUCUCUAAAACUGAGUUUUAUUUUAUCUGGUGCAUGUAAAAUGAUGUGAGGCCUAAUUUAGGUUUUUGGUUAGCAGAUCAAUUUUAAAGUGUGCUUAAACAGUAUAGGACUUUAUUUCUUAGUCCAUACAUUACUCUGUUAGCUAUAAACUUAUGUGUGCUUGAUCCUGACAAUAAUGAUUUGCAUCCUGCUUGCAAAAAGGAAUUUUUGGAUAUGUCUGUGUUUGAAAGAACAAGUGUGGUCGAAUUCAAGGAGGGGAGAUUUCAGUUUACUGAACCAGGACCAACUCAACUUCCAAAGAAGCUUUAUGCUAGAAGUGGUGCUACCUCUGAUGACGAGUUUGACGACGAAACUGCUGCCCCACCAACUAUUCCUUCUACAUCUGCACCACAUUUGAGCAUUCAAUUAGAGAAAAUGGAGCACAAGCUGAACAAGAUGGAGCAGAAUUUGGCCGCAUACUUCGAGAGUGUGGGAUUUAUUCCACCAUUUCUGCCAGGCCCAUAGACGUUAUGUGGAUCAAAGCUCACAAUUCAGGGAAGUUUUUGCCUUUAAUCUUUUAUCCUUACGCUUUAAUUUUUAUGUGAGCUUUGAUUAUCUUACAUUAGAGACAAUGUAAGUUCUUGGUGUGGGGUAGGGAUAUUUGCAAUAUUGAUGUCUGAAAGUAUUAUUUUCACUCUGCUCAUCCUUAAAUGAUUUUGGAGUUAGUAUGCUUCAUAUAUUAUUAUUGUUCUUUUCUUUUCUUUCUCACUACUCUUUUCCCAUCUAUCUCAAAUUAUUUACAUCUAUUUUUAUUCUAUCAUACUCUUUCAUCACUCACAUUUUAUCUUUCACUUUUUAUAUUACUACAUACAUCUUUCUCACUUCUUAUCAUUUUUACCUUUCCUUCACUCAUACCUUCUUCUCAUUCUACACCACUAUUGAUGGUUAAUUCAUUUGAAGAGUGUACAUGAUUUGAUGGCAAAUUUACCAACUUUGUGAGGAUUUGAGCCUAUGAGCAACCACUUUGCUCUAAUUAUUUUUGUUAUGUGAAUAUCAAUCCUAGUUUGUUUAUUCUAGAACUUGCUUUGUUAUGCAUGUUGAAGCCUGCUGUACGGCCAAGGCGGAUGUACGGUACAGCAGAUGAUUUUGAGAAAGGAGUUCUUUGUUGGUCAAAAAGUUCUUCUUUUUCAUUCUGAGCUUAAACUUUUUCCGGGUAAAUUACGUCCUUGCUGGGUUGGACCUUUUAUUGUUACUAAUGUUUUUCCUCAUGGUGCAGUUGAGAUUCGGAGUCCGCCCUCUGACAAAGUUUUUAAAGUUAAUGGUCAUCGCUUAAAACCCUUUUAUGAAGGUUUUUCGGUGAAUAUUGUGGAGNNNNNNNNNNNNNNNNNNNNNNNNNNNNNNNNNNNNNNNNNNNNNNNNNNNNNNNNNNNNNNNNNNNNNNNNNNNNNNNNNNNNNNNNNNNNNNNNNNNNNNNNNNNNNNNNNNNNNNNNNNNNNNNNNNNNNNNNNNNNNNNNNNNNNNNNNNNNNNNNNNNNNNNNNNNNNNNNNNNNNNNNNNNNNNNNNNNNNNNNNNNNNNNNNNNNNNNNNNNNNNNNNNNNNNNNNNNNNNNNNNNNNNNNNNNNNNNNNNNNNNNNNNNNNNNNNNNNNNNNNNNNNNNNNNNNNNNNNNNNNNNNNNNNNNNNNNNNNNNNNNNNNNNNNNNNNNNNNNNNNNUAUUAUUUUCACUCUACUCAUCUAUUUUCAUUCUACUUAUCCUUAAAUGAUUUUGGAGUUAGUAUGCUUUAUAUAUUAUUAUUUUUUCUUUUCUUUUAUUUCUCAUAACUUUUUUUUUUCCCAUCUAUCUCAAAUUAUUUACAUCUAUUUUUAUUCUAUCAUAUUCUUUCAUCACUCACAUUUUAUCUUUCACUUUUCAUCUUUCUCACUUCUUAUCAUUUUUACCUUUUCUUUUAUAUAUCACUCAUACCUUCUUCUCAUUCUACACUACUAUUGAUGGUUGAUUCAUUUGAAGAGUGUACAUGAUUUGAUGGCAAAUUUACCAACUUUGUGAGGAUUUGAGCCUAUGAGCAACCACUUUGCUCUAAUUAUUUUUGUUAUGUGAAUAUCAAUCUUAGUUUGUUUAUUCUAGAACUUGCUUUGUUAUGCAUGUUGAAGCCGCAUUACGGGAUUUUAUGCAUUAAAAUGAUAAGGGCAAACCAUUUUACAUCUUUCUAUUUUCGUAUUUUUCUUUUUUUUCUCUACCCGAAGAUCUUUAUUUGCUAUCUUUGUUUGAGCCUCAACCAUUACUCAUCUAAUUCUCUCCAUCUAUUUACCCAUUUUCCUUCUUUUUGAGCCUCAAUUUAAGGAGAUUUUUGGACUCAUUGUUUGGAUAUAUUUUGUAUAUAUUUUAUUGCUCUUACUACCUUGAAUUAAAGUUUCUCAAUUAGAUCAACAAGCAUUAUGCUUGAAUUAAAUUGUGCAAGGUUCAUUUCUUUUGUUUGAUUAAACAAAAAACCAAAAAAACCAAAAAAAAUCGAAAAAAAAGAAAAAAAAAGAAAAAAAAGAAGAAAUAAAAAAAAUGUGUUUACAUUCUUGGUGACUUGAGUAGAAAUAAGUGUUUCGAUAUCAUAAAGUUCGUUCAAUGAGUUCAUUCUUCUCAUUUUGAUCUCUUUUUCUUUCAUAGACCUUUCUUUUUCAUUUAACCCAUUUAACCUCGUUACAACCUUUUUAAGACCCUUAGAUUUUUGCAUUUAAUUCAUGUUUUGUGGAUUGAAAUGUGAUAUAUGAGCAAGCUUGUUGUAAUAGCAUUCUUUGAUUUGAUUUGAGUGCAUAAAUGAUACCCUGAACACUUUGAGUGCAUGGAGUGAAGUCAUUGAGAGGUCUAUUAAAUCUUGUUGCACUUGAAUUUUGAAUGGAUCUUCUUGGUGGUUGAAUGUUUUUCUUUUAUAUUAGUUUAUAAGAUCAUAUGCUUUAAAAUCCUUGUCUCUUGAAUGUUGAUCGACUUAAAUUCUUGAGGUAUGCUUGCUUAAGAUUGUUUUUGGAUGAGUUGAGAUGAGAAUUGAGUGGAGAUUUGGGAUUAGUCUUGAGUUAUAUGCUUGAGGACAAGCAUCAUCUUGGUGUGGGGGAAUUUGUUAGAGUGCAAUUUAUGCACUAGUUUUGCAUUGUUUACUUCCCUUAAUAUCGAUGUUUUGCACUUAAUAAUAGUGAUUUACUUGUGUUUUAUUUUUGUAGGUGCAAUUGUAUUGAUUGGUACUAAAAUUGAGCGACAAGAUGAUGUUUAAGGAUGAUUGUUCUCUUGGAGAAAUUAUGAGCGUCAGAAGAACUUUGUUGAUAAGGCGUGGGCGCGUGCUGUCAACUACGGACCUACAGUUUUUAGUUUAACGUGUUUUGUAUUUUUGGUUAUUUUUGUAAUUACGAAUUUAAUAUUUCAGAUAUUAAUAUUUUAUUUUAAAAAGAACUCUAGAAGAGAAGAGAGAGAGAGUAUUUAAGGGAGAAAUCUAUUGUGAAGAGGGGGAGACUUUGGAGAAAAGAAAGAAACCCUAGAUCUAAGUUUUUUUCUUCUCUCUAUGAAGAACUAAACCUAUUAUUCUGGUUGAAGGUUAAUGAAGCUUUGAUUCAUCACUACUGUGAGAUCUUUCUUAUGCUUUAAUUGUUUUAUUACUUUUUGGGUAUUUGUUUAUUCUCUGAAUUAUUUUCAUGAUUAUGUUUGUUAAUUAGAUAACUGACCACUAUUUAAUUAUCAACUUAAUCUAUUGUCAAUUAAAGGAUUCAUUGGAUGAAGAUUUUAAUGUUUGUGACAAAUAACAUAGCAGAGAGUUGUGUUAUGAGAAUAAACAAUCUAAUUUAAAUAAACCAUCGUAUGCGUUUGUUGAUUAGGAUUUUGGUCUCUCUGGUUUUUCAGGCUGUCAAUUGAUUAAAUCCUAUGAUCGUAUCUAGGGUUGUCUAUUGAUUAGGGAAAUAAUCAACGGUUGUACCUUGGUUAUCGACUAGUUAAGGAGAGAUUGGCUAUUAGAGGGUCUCAGUAGCUAUAACUGGUCUAUUCAUAAGUAGUAAUAAUUUAUAUUUGAAUCAAUGAUCAGUAGUCGAAUCAAGCUGAGUUAAUUCAUCCAACCAGAGCUUUCUCCAAUUUGAAUUACAAUUUUAAUUUACACUCUUGUUAUUUUAAGUUGAUUUUUAUUAUUGUCAACAAAUCUCCCAUUUUUCAUUUUACAUUUUAAGAGGAUUUAAAUAAUUACCGAUCUUUGUAGACACGACUCUGCUCAAUCACUAUACACAAUUUAUUUAGAGUAGGUAUUUAUUUUUGCUGGCUUCAACAACCACCAACUAGCAAGAAGGGAAUACUCCCCUGUGAUUGGUAUUGCUGCAACAUGACGGGAUGACAUCAGCGCUUCUUGGAUGCACUGCGUAGCUUACCCUUUAGUGAAACUUGUGGGGAAGUACCUGACAACGUCUUUGUCUUUUUCUUCACUAGGCUGGUGAGAGGAGUUGGGGCUGGGGUAACUUGUGUGGUUGACAUCGAUCUGGUCCAUUUUGGUUGUGUCGAGGCUGCUGCAGUAGUGCCUCUAGACAUACUGCCCUUUCUUUUGCUGGAUUGUCGCGGACUGGUACGAACAGGUUGGCCAAGAGUUUGCUGUGGAGGAGUUGGGGUUGAUGCAUCAGCUACCUAUCUCUUAGCUGUAAUGGCGACAAUGAUAUCAAGUAGCUGCUUGGCUUCUGCAGGUGUAUUCGUAACUCUGGCUGCUGAAGCAGCCAGCUCUGCAUCGACUCACUCAAUUUCAUCUUCAGAGGCUGGAGGGGUUGCUAUUUUUUUCUUGCCCUUGCCUGAAAGGACUGGAAUGAGGGGCUCCUCUUCAGGUUCCUCCUCUUCCUCUUCUUGGAUAAUGUGUCUUUUCCUAGUUUUGGAAGGGGUAUUGAUGAACGGUUCCUCACGUUCUUUCUCAGACUCGUCCUCUGCCUCUGUGGGUGAGCCGUCAGUCGCAGACUCGUCACCUUCUUCCUCAGGUUGAUUAAAUGGUUCAGCAUCUUCUAAUUCUACCUCUACUUGUGGUUCGGCUGCAACUUCUUUUUCUUGUUCAUCUGUGGCAAUGGCUUCUUCAUUGGCUUCUGCUGGAGCACCUGUGGUGUUGGUGUCAAAGUUAUACUACUGGAGCAAUGAAUCAGGGAAAUUCUGGUGAGUGCUUUUCAUGUAAAGAGCAAAUUGGUGUAGUUGGUUGUCCAGGUGUUGUAGAUAGCUCCAAAACCGAUCGUUUUCCCUCUGCUGAGCCUCAGCACAUUGAGUUAUACUGGUGCUUAGCGCCUAGAUUGUCUAUUCUAAACCAAUAGCUCGUCUUGCUCCUGUUACAGCAGCUAGUUCAGUUGUCGUUCCAGCAGUCUCACCAGCAAUUCUCUCAAUGGUACGUGCAGUAAGGGCACCAUCAUUCUUGACAUGUUCAUCUUUUGCGUCAAGACGAACACCAGAUACUACACAGAUGCUGGUGAUGAGUGAAGGGAAUAGCAAAGUAGCAGUUUUGUGAUUCUUUACGGCACACUCUCUGAUUUCUUUUCCAAUGAUGUUGCCCACAUCUAUGGGAAGCCCUCGAACAAUGGCAUAUAACAACACCAACCUUUCUUGUGAAACCGUAAUAGUGUGAGUGGUUGGCAUAAGCCUAGAUUUCAGAAAUUUCACCCACACCUUAGCAAUAGGUUUCAAAUCUAUCCUAUUAACUACAUGCCCUUCCUCAUUAGCCCAUGAUGCCCCUUCUAUUGCAAGAGUUGUGAAGAUGGUAAUCCGUUUUUUCGGGGUCAAUUUAUCAAGCAACUUGGCAUACUCACAAUUAAUUUCAGCAGGUAAAUUAUAAAAAUCAUUUAUAACUCGGGAGUCUAAUGAAACAAGUAUGUUUCUUACCCAAAUAUUGUGCUGAUCAGGGCUUACCAAAUUGGCGUAAAAUUCAUUGACUACUGGUAGCACAGGAUGUCGAGGGUGGUUGCAAAACUCUAACUAUCCACGCUUUGCUGCAGUAUUGUGUAUUGUUUGCAUAAUUCCAGUGAGUUGUUCUGGAAAUUGAAACCCUUUUUCUUUCAGAAUCUUACGCGACUCAAUGAAUUCUUCAUAUUUUUCUUCGGCGUAGUAACUCUAGAAACGUGAAGGAUCUUUGAGGCGACUGGCUGUUUUCUUAUACUUUGGCAUUGCUCUAGCAGUAACAAAUUGAGGAUAAUGUCCCUGAGAGUAAAAUGAGAGAUGAGGGUAUUAGAGUUGUGCUUGCGAAGGAGAGAGGGAAUAGUGUCGUAUGUCACUACACACAUUGAUUCCCUUUUAUAGUUGAAUUUAAAUGAAGAUAAAUUCGGUAAAUAAAGAUAAAUUAGGGAAGAAAAUAUUUUGAAUAUAAUGAGUAUAUCCCGAGAACAUAAGCCAGAGAAAUUAAUGCAUUAAUUUCGAAGAUUUUUUUUCUCAAUUGCUAUCCACAUCCAUGCAUCCAUCUGUCAUGAUUUAUCUUCAACGGUAGGUGAGACACUCCAAUUUUUAAUUUACUCUAAUGGUAAUAUUGGUUGAUGCAGCACCCAUUUGCUUGCUCUAGCAACGGUUACAUACUCCACUCCAAUGCCCUCUAACACGUGGCUUGCCUCUGCACUCUGUCACCAUACAACCUCACUUGUCAAAAUGGAAUUCAAUUGCCACACAUACUUCCCACAAAAACUAAAACCAAUUCUAAAAAUAAUUAAAAAUAAAUAGAUCAAAUGAUAGCAAAAGUAAAGAGGUCAAUAAUAUGAAAGGAUAGAACUAAAUAGAUAGAAUUGAAGAACGAAAUUAAAUAAAAUGGAAGAUAGGAAGAGCUGUCAACAAAACCAAAGAGGAUCAAGCUUGGUUUGAGGUGGCUGUCUCCACAAUAGGUUGCCUCCCAUUGAGCGCUUGAUUGAAGGUCCUUCAGACUGACCUUCUUUCACUGCUCAGUAGCUGGGUUCAUUAAGGAGUAAAGCCUCCUUUGAACAAUCUGCCGCUGGGUGUAUGUAAUGCUUAACCCUAUGUCCAUUAACUUUAAAUUCUUGACCUGUUUGUUCAUCUAGAAGAUCAAUAGCCCCAUGAGGAUAAAAUUUUAACAACUUAAAAGGUCCAGACCAUCGUGAUUUUAGCUUUCUCGGAAAUAAUCUUAGUCUGGUAUUGUGGAGCAGAACUAAUUGACCAGGGCUGAAUUACCUGUUUUGAAUAUGCUUGUCGUGCCAGUGUUUUGUCCUCUCUUUAUAGAUUCUUGCAUUUUCAUAUGAAAAUAGUCGUAAUUUAUUAAGCUCACAAAGUUGAAAUUUCCUUUGCUCUGCUGCAGCAUGAAUAUCCCAAUUUAAUUGCGUCAGUGCCCAGUGUGCUUUAUGCUCUAGCUCUAUUGGCAAGUGACAAGCCUUCCCAUAAACAAUUCAGCAAGGAAACAUGCCAAGUGAAGUUUUGUAUGCUGUUCUGUAGGCCAAUAGAGAAUCAUGUAACUGAAAAGACCAAUCAUUCCUUAUCGGGUUCACCACUUUUUCUAAGAUCUUUUUAAUUUCUCUGUUGGACACUUUAGCCUGGCCAUUGGAUUGUGGGUGAUAUGUUGUUGCUACCUUGUGUCUGACUCCAUAUUUUACCAUAGCUACAACAAAGACUUUAUUGCAAAAAUAAGUACCCUCAUCACUAAUAAUUGCUCUAAGAGUGCCAAACCUGGAAAAAAUAUUUUUAUGAAAAAAAGCCACCACUGUUUUAGCAUUAUUGGUAGGUAAUGCUGCAGCUUCUACCCACUUGGAGGCAUAAUCCAUAGCAAUAAUGAUAUAUAAGUUCCCAAAGGAUGGUCGAAAAGGUCCCAUGAAAUCUAUUCCCCAGACAUCAAAAACUUCCACUUCCAGAAUGUUGGUCAAUGGCAUUUCAUGUCUUUUAGUUAUGUUCCCUGUCCUUUGACACUUGUCACAAUAUUUAACAAAUUCAUAAGCAUCUUUAAAAAUAGUAGGUCAGUAAUAACCUAAUUGCAGAACUUUAGCAGUUGUUCUGUGACCACCAAAAUGUCCUACAUAUGCUGCAGUAUGGCAUGACUCCAGUAUGUGGAGAAUUUCUCCUUCUGAAGCACAUCUUCGUAUUACUUGAUCUGAGCAUAACUUAUAUAAAUGUGGGUCAUCCCACUGAUAACUUCUAACAUUAUGAAGAAAUUUCUUUUUCUCCUAAAACUUCAGCUUAGGUAGUAGCAACUCACUUACUAAGUAGUGAGCAAAAUCUGCAUACCAUGGAGAUCCUGACUGCUGCAGCAUCUGUGUUUGUUGUACUACCAACAGUUGUUCUUCAGGAAAAGUUUCAGUGAUGUCCCUCCUUGUCAAUGUACUUGUGUCUACUUCCAGCCGCGACAAGUGGUCUGCUACUUGAUUCUCAGUCCCCUUUCUAUCUUUAAUUUCCAGAUCAAAUUCCUGAAGCAAUAAGAUCCAUCUGAUUAAUCUUGGUUUGACAUCCUUCUUUGAAAUUAAGUAUUUGAUGGUUGCAUGGUCUGUGUAUACAGUCACUUUAGUGCCCACCAAGUAAGCUCUGAAUUUAUCAAAAGCAAAUACUACUGCUAGCAACUCUUUCUCUGUAGUGGUGUAAUUGAUUUGAGUUUAAGUAAGAGUUUUGCUUGCAUAGUAUAUGGAGUGAAAAACCUUAUCCUUUCUUUGCCCUAAUACUGCUCCCACAGAAUGAUCACUAGCAUCACACAUCAGUUCAAAUGGUAGAGUCCAGUCUGGAAAUAUAACCACUGGUGCAGUGAUCAGAGCUUUCUUUAAUUCUCCAAAUGCUUAGAGACAAUCUUUGUCAAAGUGAUAAGGCUUUUCAUGUUCUAGCAAUGAGCAUAAUGGUUUAGCUACCUUGGAAAAAUCUUUAAUGAAUAUUCUGUAAAAUCCAGCAUGACCCAAAAAACUCCUAAUACCCUUUAUUGAAGUGGGGGGUGGCAGUUUAUCUAUUACCUUUAUCUUGGAUUUGUCUACCUCAAUGCCUUUCUUGGACACCUUAUGACCCAACAUUAUUCCUUCUUGUACUAUGAAAUGACACUUUUCCCAAUUGAGUACUAAGUUAGUCAUCUCACAUCUUUUAAGAACUUCUUCCAAGUUAUGUAAACAAUCAUUCUAUGUCUCCCCAAAAACUGAGAAGUCAUCCAUGAAAACUUCUAAAGUUUGCUCUACCAUAUCAGAAAAAAUAGACAUCAUGCAUCUCUGAAAAGUUACUGGAGCAUUGGACAAACCAAAUGGCAUUCUUCUAAAGGCAAAUGUUCCAUAAGGACAGGUAAAUGUAGUCUUCUCAUGAUCCUCUGGAGCUAUAGCAAUUUGGUUGUAGCCUUAAUACCCAUCUAGGAAACAAUAGUAUUGUUUUCCAGCAAGUCUGUCCAACAUCUGAUCUAUGAAUGGGAGUGGGAAGUGAUCUUUCUUUGUGGCUUUGUUGAGCUUCUUGUAAUCCAUACAUACUCUCCAUCCAGUCACUGUCCUUGUAGGAAUAAGUUCAUCCUUCUCAUUAGCUAUCACUGUUAUCCAUCCCUUCUUUAGAACACAUUGAACUGGGCUCACCCAUGAACUGUCUGAUAUUGGAUAUAUGAUUCCAGCAUCCAACCAUUUGAUGAUUUCCUUUUUCACUACUUCUUUCAUAAUAGGGUUUAACCUUCUCUGAUGCUCUACCGAAUUGCUGUGGCAAUCUUCUAACAGGAUUUUAUGCAUGCAUAUUGAUGGGCUUAUCCCCUUAGUGUCUGCCAUGGUCCAUCCAAUUGCUCUUCUGUAUCUUCCAAGAAAAUCUACUAGACUCUGUUCUUGACCUGCAUUCAAGGUAGAGGAAAUGAUUACAGGGAGUGUGUUGUUUUGACCAAGAUAAACAUAUUUCAAAUGUGAAGGUAACAAUUUUAAUUCAAGACUAAGAGGUGAUUCAAUAGAUGGUAAAGCUGUUUUUACUUCCUUGUCUAAAAGAUUCAGAUGCUCAAUAAAUUUGUUAUGCCUAUCAGAUUGCUUUUCUUCCAUCCAAUCUAUCUGAUUUGCUGCAACAUCUUCCUCUUCUAAAUCUUCAAAGGUAGUGACUUUGUUUAUCUCAUUACUGCAGUAUCUAUUGAUUCUGUCUGCUUUAACAAAAUCCACAACACUUAGGAAAUUGUAAUCUUCUACUUCAUCAGGGUUCUUCAUAGCCUCUAGUACAUUAAAUGUGACUUGCUGAUCAUUCACUCUUAUGGUGAGCUCUCCUUUCUGCACAUCUAUCAGAGUCUUCCCAGUUGCUAGGAAAGGUCUUCCAAGUAUAAUAGGUACCUCUUUAUCAGCUUUAAAGUCUAGUACAAUGAAGUCUACUGGGAAGAUGAAUUUGUCAACCUUCACCAAUACAUCCUCAAUUUUUCCUUCAGGAUAUGCAUGAGAUAUGUCAGCUAAUUGGAGAGUGACUGUUGUUGGUCUGCAUUCCCCUACUCCCAACUACUUAAAUACAGACAAUGGCAUCAGAUUAAUACUGGCUCCCAAGUCACAAAGUGCUCUGCCAGUGUACCUAGUUCCUAUAGAGCAGUGUAUUGUCAAACUUCCUGGAUCCUUCGCUUUUAUAGGAAUCUUACUUUGGAACAUAUGACUGCUUUCCUGUGUUAAAGCAACAAUUUCAAAUUCUCCCAGCCUUCUCUUUCGUGCCAAGAUAUCUUUUAGAAAUUUCACAUAAUUAGGCAUUUGCUCCAGAGCUUCCACAAAGGUAUGUUGAUGUGUAAUUGCUUCAGCACUUCCAGAAAUUUACUGAAUUGCUUGUCUUGUUUUUACUUCUGGAAUCUCUGUGGGAAAGUUGGUGGAUGUCUGAACUGCUGGGUAGCUUCAGGAGGUACCAAACUCUGCUUGUUUGGUUUGUUGUAGGUCGUGGCUACUGGUGUUGCAACUUCUUUUUCAGCAUGUACUCGUUGAGUUCCUUCUGAAGUUGUGGUAGCUUAGCCCCUGUAACCAGUGUCUUGAUUGUUGGGUUGUUGAAACAUGCUUCCAUUUUGAGGUGGUGUUUGUAAGGAAUUAAAUUACAUCCCCUUUUUAGUCACAUCAACUAGGAUGUCAACAUUCUUUCCAGAUCUCAAAUUAAUUACUUUGCAAUGUUCUUUGCCCUCUCUCCUAGGGUCUUCUGCGUUGUUAGGUAAGCUUCCUUGAGUCUUGCUACUCAUUACUGUGGCAAGUUGUCCCAUUUGGUUUUCCAGGUUCCUCAAGGAUACAGCUUGACUCUGCAAAAUUGCUUCAUUCUUUUCAAUGUAUUCCUUAAUUAGUACUUCCAAUGAAGUGAUUUGAUCCUGACUGAUAUGUUUUUGCCCUUGACUCUGCUGAUAAAAACCAGGUGGUUGAGUGUUCCUAUUUUGUCUAUUUAAUAUUGUAGCAUUUCGAUUCUGACUACUCCAUGAAAAAUUUGGGUGUUGUUUUCAGCCAGUGUUGUAAGUAUUUAAAUAUGGGUUGUUCUGAAGCUGUCGAUUGAAAUUACCCACAUAGUUUACUGAAGCUGGAUUUCCAGGACAAUUAUCACAGUGGUGAUCUUCACCACGGUAUACACAAGAAAGUUCAACAACUUGCUUCACUACUGCUGGAGCAGAUGUCAUGGCCUUUACCAUGUUAGUCAAUGAGAUUACUUGCGCUGAUAAGGUUGUAAUUGCAUCUAUAUUAUGUACCCCUGCGGUUCCUCUUGCCACUGGUAGCCUGGUUGAUGGCCACUAAUAAUUAUUAUUGGCAGUUCUCUCCAGAAUUUCAUAAGCUUCAAUGUAAGAUUUGGAUAACAGAGCUCCAUUUGCUGAAGCAUCCACUAUUAAUCUUGUACUCAGAUUCAACCAAUUGUAGAAAGUUUCCAAUUGAAUGCAACAAGGAAUGCCAUGAUGAGGACACCUUCUGAGCAGUUCUUUGAAUCUUUCCCAAGCCUCAUACAAACUCUCAUCUUCAAGAAUUGCAUUUUUUGUCGGUGGGAAAUAGUUCAUUAGGAAUUUAUCAGCCAACUCAUUCCAUGUAGUGAUGGAAUUAGAUGAUAAUGAAUUUAACCAUGCUCUUGCUCGAUCUCUUAAGGAAUAAGGAAAAAGCCUCAGUCUUAAGGCAUCUUGUGUUGCUCCAGCAAUCUUGAAAGCAUUACUCACUUCCAAGAACAACUUAAGAUGGAGAUGGCAUCUUGUGUUGCUCCAGCAAUCUUUCAGUCUUAAGGCAUCUUGUGUUGCUCCAGCAAUCUUGAAAGCAUUACUCACUUCCAAGAACAACUUAAGAUGGAGAUGAGGAUCUUUAUUUGGCAAUCCAUUGAAUUGACCAACUGUUUGCAAUAUUUGAAACAUCACUGACUUCAAUUCAAAGUUUGUGGCUUCUACUUCAGGUCAGAUUAUCCCAGGGUGUACAACUUGAGGAGUUAACACAAUAUAAUCUCUAAUAGCUCUGUCUCUGUCAUCAGCCAUGUAAAUAAUGCUGUUAUCGCCUGGCUGUCUCUGAUUAGCAUGUUCAUUCUGCUCUUCUUCAAACGUUGACUGGUUUUAAAGGCUAGUGAAGGUCCAAAUUUCCCACAUCCUGUAAAUUAUUCAUACUGAAAUAAUUUUUGAAUUUCUUUAUUCUCUUCGCAGUCUCCGAAUAGUCCUUUCAAUCUCAUGAUCGAAUUGGAAUACCACAGAUCCAUUUUUGCGCAUGCAAGUACUGAUAUGCCAAUAAAUAGAAUGAAUCAAAUCAAAUUGGCGCUAUCAAGAUUAACUUUACACUUCAAAAAUAAAUAAUCAAUCCCCGGCCACGGCGCGAAAAACUUGUUGCUAAAUUUUAUAAUCAAAUGCUACUAAUGCCAAUGUACAAGUAUACACAAUAAGUAAUAAAGUGAUGAAUAUUCAAGAUCAUCUCCACAGGGAUUGAUGUCACUUGAAAUGCUAUAGCAAUCACAAUAGUGCAAACUAACUUAAGUCCAAAGUUAUCAAACGUAAAGUGGGUUCUAUCGUAAUUGAUGAUUGUGAGAGAAUAAAGUAAAACAAUACCGUAAUGAAAUAAACUAAAUUAAAUGUGUCUAAGAUUCAAUUGAGACUAUGGUAGUUGAAUGAUCAAACUCUCCUUAUGGGUUGACUAUUUUUCAUCAAGUUAACACCAGUUGUUACGGCAAAUACUGCAGCACUGGGCAGAAUUAAUCUGUAUCAUCAGCUGUCGCGUAUUGAAACUCUCAUACUCUUAAAUAUAUUAGCAAUGACCAGUUGUUAAUCUACUUAUGAUAUGGCCUUAUGACCCUUUAGUCUCUCCACCCUACAAGGUGAGCACCUAUGUCUAGUGUGUCACAAAUCUUAACUUCAAGUAUAGCCCUUAUGGGAUUCAAGAUAACUUAAUCCAGGAAACUAAAAUUAAGAUCAAGUAAUACUCUAAUAAUAUCCGUUAAGACAUGCCUUUUUACUGCUCUAUCUUAACUUGAACUAUUAAAUGGGUGGUCAACCGAAAUAACAGUUAUAUUGAUAAUAACUACUAGAGUAAAAUGCUACAGCAAUGACAUAACAACACAUAAGAACAAUCAAGCACCCAUUAUAUUGUUUGUCACUCAACUACAAGCAAAUCUAGUUUAUAUUUUGAAUGAGAAAAACAAACAUUAAUAUAUUGUUCACGGAAUACAUCAGAACAGUCAAAGAAAGAAGAAAAGUAUAAGUUGAGAACCGCAAAAAGCAAAUCCAAAUAACUCUGCAGGAUUCCUCAAUGCUGCUGACGCGCUCUCUUCAAUUCCGAGCUUAUUCUCCUUCUUUUUCUCUAAUGUCUCGAUGAUAAUUCCCUUGCUGCCGUUUUAUGUAGUGCGCGCCACCUUUUAUACUGUAAACUAGGGUAAAUAAAAGUAUGUGGGCGUGCAUAAGUUAAAUUAGGAAACAUGCAUAUCGUAAUUCUGCAGCUGACCCGCGCUUAAGUUUUCUCCCUCAGUGCUCGCAGAUUGCUACAGCACUGGUUGCUUUAACAACAGCUACAACACUGCAUUGUUCCCGAUUGUGCUUUACUUCUUUUGCGGCCGUCUUCUUUCCUCCUCUUGCUAGUCUAAUGUCUCAGCAUCCCUUCAUGAAUUAAGGAUUUCUGAAAACCUACAAUUAUGCACUUGUUUUGAGCACAAAUUACUUUGAUUCAAGUAAAACUUAUUAAGACUAAACUAAAAUGAAUGUUUAUGCAAAAUAUAACCAAAAUGUAAUAAAAACACCUUAUUUGUUUCUAAGUGAUCUUGAUUUAAGUAUAGAAUUGAUAUAAUAACUCUCAUUUCAUAUAGUUAUUACACAACUUAGAGAAAGUUUUAAAUGAGGAGGCUAUUCCAGUGGUAGAAAUCUUUUCUUUGGCAGAGGAGGCAUGAAUUACUCUCCAAGAAUAUUUAAUUGAGGUUUUAGAAGUGGAUAUGGCAGAGGAUAUUUUUCUGGCAAUAACUAUACUGGUUUCAAUCCUUUUUCAGUACCUAGGAAUCCAACACUUAGGGAACCGAGCUCAUUUGAUUAAGAAUGGAUCUGCUAACAUGAAUGGAUCACAAUGACUUCUCAAUAAUAUGGGAGAGCUGAUAUGUCAGAUUUGCUUUAAAUUUGGUCAUACUGCUGAUGUCUGUUGGCAUAGAUUUGUUCAAGAUUAUGUGCUUAUUCCAAGAGGUUUUGGCAAAGGCAAAGCACCAAGAGCAGCAUAUUUUUCAAAUUCUGAUGGCUCUGCUGCUAAUCCAGACUUUGUUGGCUAUGAAAAUUUCAAUAAUAUGUUUCCAGGAUAUGAUUAUAUAUCUGGCAGUGGCUACUAUUCUGGCAUGGAUGCAUAUACUCCUGGAGCAGCUUUUAUGGCUAACUUUGAAGGGACUGCUAAUGAUGGAUGCUAUCUGGAUAGUGGAGCAACUCACCAUUUGACCAACAAUAUGGAGAAUUUACAGAUCAGUGAAGAAUUUAAAGGUAUUGAUCAACUUAUCAUUAGCAAUGGUCAAGGUUUGUCUAUCACUCAUGUUGGACAUGCAUUUCUGUUAUUAAGAGCUUCAAAAUCUUUACCUACACAUACUAAAAUAACACUUAAAGAUAUGUUACUUGUUCCCUCAAUUAUCAAAAACCUGUUAAGCAUUUCCAAACUCACAUCUGACAAUCCUAUAUCUGUUGAAUUCAAUGGAAAUGUUUGUUUUGUGAAGAACAUGAAGGGGCAAGUUCUUCUGCAGGGCAUUGUUGAAAAAGGCCUUUGCAAGCUGCUGCUGAAUUCUAGUUCUCUUUCCUCAUCACCUAUAUCUCAUCUUUGUCAAUCUCAGCUAAAUAAACCUAUUUCUAUGUUGUCUGUUUUUAGAAACUGUGAUAAUGUUACUAAAGCAUGUUAUCAUUCUAUUUCCAAUAAGUGUAAUGCUAAACCCGAUACAAUAACUGUGUUACAUAGAAAGUUUGGCUAUCCAAGUUCAAUGACAUUGAUGCAUUUGCUUAAAUCAUGUAAACAGUUUAAAGUCUCUCAAAAUGAUAUUUUGUCCUCUGCAAGUUCUUCAUGUGAAGCAUGUCAGUUAGGCAAAGUCCUUAAGCAACAUUUCUCUACAACCGAAACAAAAACAAAAAGGUGUUAGAAUUGAUCCACACUGAUCUUUGGGGGCCUUCACCUACUAUAUCUAGAAAUGGAUACAAAUACUACAUUAGUUUUGUGGAUGACUAUACUAGAUACACCUGGAUCUAUCCUCUUAAGCUCAAAUCACAAGCAUUUGAAGUCUUUAAACUGAAAUGACCCACCUUAAACCUCCAGGGCGAGUCUAUCUAAGUCUAUCAAAUCGAACAUAAAUUAAUCUAAUUAACAACAAUUCUGUUGAAAAUUCGGCAGAGUCUCUCCUACAAUUUAUAAAAUUAACACUCCCAAAAUAAUUCCAAAUACAACCAACACCCACAACCAACUUCCUCAUAUAAAAUAACGAAUAUCAAAAUACAAUAACUUUUCCUCAAUCACCAAAACAUAAUAAAUUAUACAAUCCAAAAUAUCUCAAUUAAAAUAUCUAAAAUUCCUAACACCAUCAUGUAGCCAUAAUAUCAAAAUAACUAUUGUUGCUGGGUCGACUGAUGUACCUGCAAGUUUCCUAUGGGGGAAAAAUAUAAUAAACACAGGGUGAGUAUAAAACUCAGUGAGCUCAGUGAGUGGAUAAUAAAUUUAAAAAAAAAUAAACUUAUUUAAAAAUAAGUUAAUCUUCCUCUAACAAUCUCAUCAAAAUAUCAUAACAACUUAAAUAAGCUUAUUUAAUUUAAAUCACGCACUGGAAUAACAAUAUUAUACAAAUCUGCAUAAAAUCAAUAAAUCAUAAAACUUAUAAUAUCGAACAUUGAAUAUCGAAAACUAUCACCAAACAAGUACUCGAGGGAAUAAUCUCGUCAUACCCGAACCUCAAUGGAUAGGCAAUCAGGGAACCAUCAUGCCCCGGAGCUGCAACGGGUAUUCAAGGAAAUGUCAUCUCAUAUGUCUCAUAUCUCAUAUCCGAACCUCAACGGACAAGAAAUGACGUACUAUCUAACUACCGUCAUGCCCCGGAACUACACGGAUAGACAGGAAAAUAUCAUCGCAUAUAUCUCAUCAUAUAUGUGCAUACAUCAUCUGGUCCCCAGAGGACAAUGCGCCCAAGUACACGGUUCAAAGUCUAUGUGUGUACUCAGACGGGCCCCAAAGGCGUAUAUCACAUCUAUAUCAUCAUAUCUCAUCUAUAUCACCAUAUCUCAUCUUUAUCAUCAUAUCUCAUUUGUAUCAUCUGUAUCUCAAUAUUUGUAUCUCUGUAAUCAUCAUAUUGCAUGCAUACGCCCCCAAAAGGUAAGAGCGCCCAAGCACACGGCUCAAAAUCUCUAUGUGUGUUCAAACGGGCCCCAAAGCCCUAUAUUAUGAAAAUAGAUUUUGUAUAUUCCACUCACAGUGACAAUAUCCAGACUCGGUAUCAACAACGUCCGCGAGUUGAUUCUCGUUCGCGGGUCCUCCUAAUUACAUAAACGAUAAAUCAUUUUCCGUAAACAUGAAAUAUAAUAAAUUUUACGCGAUUAAUCUCUAAACGAAUAUUUAUCCGCAUUAAACUAUUCUCGUAUGCAUCAAAUUACCAAAAUACCCUUGCAUGACAAAAUUACCAAAAUGCCCCCGACAUCAACUCAGAUCACAAAAUAACCACAAUAUCAGAAACUAUGAAAUCACCCCCCGGAGUGUAAAAUUACCAAAAUACCCUUGACAACGUAAAUUAUCGAAUAACCCCUGAAAUCUCAAAUUACCUCACUGUCCUAGUCUAAAAUUACCAAAUUAUCCAUUAUUUUUAGAAAUUACAAAUUUACCCCAAAGUUUUAUAAAAUUACUAAAUUACCCCUACCGGUCAACAGUGACCGAACUUAGUCAACGUCAAUGGAAAGCUCAGGUUUGAAAGUUCUGGCCACGCUGAGUCCAAUGGUGCCAGCGGUGAUCUUCCACGCGCGGCGACGAUGGCGGAUCGAGCUUCCCAAAUCCGUGACCUCCAAGUGGUCGAUCGGCAGCAAUCCGGCCGUUUCAGGUGAGGAAACUGGUCGGAAAUGGAAGCUGGUAACGUGAGGAGUCGAACCCAGCCGGUGGCGCAGCCUAAUUCCGAAGAAAUCGACGGCGAUGGUGAUGGGUUUUGGCAGUGGCUUUUUGAGCUUCCAACGGCGGUGUUCUGGUUAGUUUUCGAUGGCGAGGACGAUGGGGAUGUGAUGGCCGGCUACUAAGCUUCAAAUAUGUACCUUGGUCGGCUGGUGAGGUGGCCAGAAUCGGCAGCUGGAGUCAGGUCAAGGACGCGGGUUUCUGGGUCGGAUCCGGGUCAAAUUAAUGCCGAAGGGGAAAAAUUAAAUACUACCCUUAAUUAGAAAAAUUAGAGUACAUAUAUUUCAUAAAUUGUUCAAAAUUCAAGUUGAAAAUUAGUUUAAUGCCAAAAUCAAGGUGAUACAAUCUGACUUAGGGGAGAAGUUAAAGUAUUUACUGACUUCCUUAAUCAAAAUGGGAUAAUCUUUAGGCACUCAUGUCUUUACACCCAUCAUCAAAAUGGUCUUGUUGAAAGGAAACAUAGGCAUAUAAUUGAGCUAGGCUUAACUCUCAUUGCUCAAGCAAAUUUCUCGUUUCAAUUCUGGUGGGAAGCUGUUCACACAGCAAUAUACCAUAUUAAUAGAUUGCCAACCCUUGUUCGAAAAUUUCUAUCUCCUUUUGAAAAAUUGUUCAAGCACAAACCAGACUAUACAUUUCUCAAGUGCUUUAGUUGUCUUUGCUAUCCAUAUUUAAGAGACUUUAACAAGUAUAAAUUUGAUUUUCACAUUCUAAAUGCAUCUUCAUUGGCUACAGUCCCCCUCAUAAAAGAUACAAAUGCUUAGCAAGUUCUGGUAAAGUUUAUGAUCUUAGACAUGUCAUUUUUUAUGAAAACACAUUUCCUUAUUCAAUAAACAUUACAUUUCAUUCAUCAGAAAACCCUACAUCCUCUUAAAUAUCAAUGUCUAAUUUCUCUCUACAAUAGAUUUAUCAUCUUUCUACAAUGUCCUUACCCAGCAGCAGCUAUGAAGGUCUUCAGUCAGCAGGUUCAGCAAGGAAUGAACAAAUGUCUUCUAUUCCUAUACAUACAAAUAAUCUGAAUAAACAUGAACAUUCACCACACACACUCUCAGAAUUGUCAUUCUCAACCUCACCAUCACCAAAUACAUUACCAACACAACCACAAACUGAAGCAAAUACAUUACCAACACAACUAUCUAUUCCACAAAACACAGAUCAAAAUCAAACCAGAAAUCUUCUCCCACAAUCCUCUCAUCCAAUGAUUACCAUAUCAAAGUUUGGAAUCUUCCAAUCAAAGGUCUAUACAGUCACUUUAAUCAACAAAGUACCCAGUACAGUUCAAGAAGCUCUUAGUGAUCAAAAUUGGCAUCAAGCCAUGAGAGAUGAGUAUUAAGCCUUGAUAAAGAAUAAACUUGGUCAUUGGUACCAUUUUCAAAUGCAUAUAAGGUGGUUGACAGCAAAUGAGUGUUCAGAAUCAAGAAAAAUACUGAUGGAAGCAUAGCUAAAUACAAGGUCAAGUUAGUUGCAAAAGGUUUUCAACAGGCUGAAGGUGUGGAUUAUUUUGAGACUUUUAGUCCGGUUGUAAAGGCUUCCACAGUAAAGGUUGUUUUAAGUUUGGCUGUAAUGCAUAAAUGGAAAAUAAGGCAAGUGGAUGUGAAUAAUGUCUUUUUGAAUAGGAAUUAACAGAAGAUGUCUACAUGUAUCAACCUGAAGAAUUUGUUGAUCAGCAAAAACUCAAUUAUAUAUGUAAGCUGUAGAAGGCCUUGUAUGGCUUGAAACAAACUCCUAGAGCUUGGUAUGACAAGCUGAAGAGCUGUCUGAUUGCUAAUUGGGGGUUUCAGAAUUCUAAAGCUGAUACCUCUAUUUUCUUUAAAGAAAUGCAGGGUUCACUAAUCUAUGUUAAUGACAUCCUAAUCAUAGGACCUGAUAGCAGAGAGCUGGAGAAAUUCAUCUCAGAAUUCAGUAUGACUUUUGCUUUAAAGGACUUGGGAAUACUGUCAUAUUUUCUUGGGAUAUAAGUUUCCUAUGUUGAAGACUGUAUAUAUCUAUCUUAGAAGAAAUAUAUCAAAGAUUUUUUAUCCAGGGCUAAUAUGCUAAAUUGCAAAGAAUGUGACACUCCCAUAAUUACUGGAUCAAAGCUUCAUAAAGAAGUGAAAGGUUAUUUGGGUCAGUAUAUUGAGGAUGCAACAAGCUAUAAAAGCUUAGUUGGAGGAUUACAAUAUUUGGUAUUAACUAGACUAGAGAUAGCAUUUGUUGUGCAUAAAUUGAGUCAAUGUAUGAUAGCUCCAACACUCCAGCAUGUAAUGACUUGCAAGAGGGUUCUCAGAUACUUAAAGGAAAUUGCAAACUAUGGAUUGAAGUUUUCAGCUGGUGGGGAAAUGAAAAUCACAAGCUUUACAGAUGCAGACUGGGCAUGUGAUAUUGAUGAUAGAAAAUCAAUAGGAGUAUAUUGCAUUUAUUUUGGAAACAAUCUAGUUUCAUGGUCAUCCAAGAAACAGUCUGUAGUUACACGGUCCAGUGCAGAGAGUGAAUAUCAAGCUCUGGCUUCUGCAAGUGCAGAGAUAACAUGGUUGCAGUCAUUAUUUAGUGAACUUAACAUCAAAUGCACUUCAUUACCUAUUAUCUGGUGUGAUAAUAUGAGUGCAACAUAGUUGGCCAAGAAUCCAGUCUAUCAUUCAAAAACUAAACACAUUAAACUGGAUAUGCAUUUUAUUAGGUACAAAGUAUUGGCAAAGGAAUUGGAGAUUAACUAUAUUCCCAGUGAGGAACAAAUUGCUGAUAUUUUGACAAAGCCUCUGACAUUCAUCCAUUUCAACUAUUUCAGAGCCAAACUCAAUGUGCAACCAUGUUCCUUGAGUUUGAGGGGGGCUGUUAAGGAAGCAUAUAAUGUAUGGAAGCAUGUUGCACACGUGUGAGUAGAAUCUGAAAUACUAAUUAAGCAACCAAAAAGGGGGGUGAAUUGAGAUUUUAAAACUCAAGCUAAAUAAAACACACAACAAUUCAAUAUAUUCCCUUAAUGAAAUCAAAAAUAAUAAAUUUAAUAAAGCACAAUAAUAAAAUAGUAAGGAAAGAGAGAGCAAACACAAUGAUUUUUACGUGGUUCAGCAACCCCCCGCCUAGGUCCGCGCCUCCAAGUUCACCCGUCUUGAGGAUUUCACUAUCCAAACCUCCCAAGGCUUCAAGUUCUUUACAAUUGACUUCCAAAGUGUCAAUAAACAUUUACACCCAAGAGAUUAUCUUUUAAUUUUUUUACUCAAAUGUUUCUCACACUUAAACACUCACAAAUUUGAUGAUCAAAUAAAGAUUACAACAAUGAACACUCUUUUAGAGUAAAUGUACAAAUGAUAGCACAAUAAAGAUUUAAUCUAUGAUGAUUUUCAAAUUUGAAAGCUCAAAAUAUGUUGUUUUCGCUUGUUUAUGCUUUUAAGAGUCUUAAAUUCAAAGUUGGAGUUGAGUUUUUAUAGUUAAAGCCCGAAAACUAGUCGUUAUGGGUAAAUUUCAGUGAGCAAGCGGCUAGCCACUUAAUUUAGUCGGCUGCCCGCUGUAGAACAGUAAAGUUACCGUUAAAUUUGAAUUUUGCUACAGUAGUACUGUUCACAAAAUUACAUUUUUGCCUGAACUUUUUGUAAUUAUACUAUGGCCCAAACCGUCAUAGAACUUUGCAAACAAGUCCAAUUUUAGAAUUUCUAAAUAAUACUUGUUAUUCACAAAAUUUUCUGAAAUUGUGACAUGGCCCAAUACAUGAUAAUAUUUUUCAAAAUAGUCCUUUUCAAAAUUUAACAUAAUACUUAUAAAUUUUAAAGAUUUCAAAACUUUUUCAAUUUAGUCCAAAAUUUGAAAUGUGAAGUUUUCACAGCUAGCCGCUAACUCUCUGUCCACUUAUGAUAUUUACACUCAGACCCUCAAACUUUCAUAAAUUAUAGUAUGGCCCAAUAUGUUUUAAAUGUUUGCAAAUAAGUCUAAAUCCAGAAUUCAAGAAAAAUACUUAUUAAAAUCAAAGAUGGCAAAACUUUUUUCAUUUUAGUCCAAAUUACUCAAAUCCAAAAAAUACUUUAUCUUAAAAAAUAUAAAAUCUUUUGGUUUAUAAAAAGUAAUGAUUUAAAUAAAAUCUUAAGCUUCUCAAAUGUUAAACCAUUCAUCAAUUAAAUCAUACCGGCUUUAUAAGAAUUUAUCGCAAUAAUUAAUUUGUUGAGCUCUAAACUUUAUUCUUGAUUGUGUCGUUAUCCGUCGAGUGUCUUGAACUUGAUUUCACUUGUAUAAACAUUAUCCUUCAAGAACUAGUGAACUUGUGAAAUACAAUAUUUAUUAUAUCACUUAAGACACAUGUUUGUUAUCAUAAAAAUUACAAUAUGUGUAGUCUUUUAGGCUAAAAGAAUCCAGUCAGCUGAAUUAGUUGAAGAAUGUAAUGUCAGCUCAGCAGAAGUUAGUUAAGCACACUAAGAUUCUGUUUUAGUUUGUUUUUCUCUUUUGUUAGCUUAAAACGAACUGAAUAUAAAUAAGUACAUUUUGUAAUCAUUCUGUAAUUAGAGAGAGAAAUAAAAAUAUGAAAUUCCAAAAGCCUCUUUACAAUUUUCUUAGCAAUAAAAACACAUUUUCUUGAUAACCAAACAGAUUGAUCAUUGAAAUUUCAAGCUUUCAAAUAAUGAGGGUGAUGAAUUUCAAAUAUUUUUACGACACAUAUGUGAUCAAACAUAAUGCUAUUAAAAGGAUAUCGGUCUUCGUAGUCUGCAAACUUCAUCACUAAAAUUGAACGAUCCUCAAGAAGACCUUGAUGUAAUUUAAAGAGAUAUGGAAGUUGCAUUUGUGUAAUAUCCCAGCAACUCUAGUUGUUUGUUGCUUUUGUCAGCUCAGUAGCAGUAAAUCGACAAUUAGGAUUACAUUUACCAUUGCAAGAGGCAAUCAAUUUUCUUAAUAAAAAUUCCAUCGUUCCUCCUCAUAUCAUAAUUGCUUACUCAUCUGCCUUUCCACUGUUGGAGAAUUUUAAAAAAAUCAACACUCAAAAAACACACUAUUUUAUUUUUUCAAUAAUACUCCUCAACGACAACUCUUAUUUUUCACUCUCUACAACUUAGAGACUUUGUUACUUCACUUAAUACAUAAACCAAAGGGGAGAAGGGGUAUUUAUACAUGAAACAAACUAAUCACAACCAUUCAUUUAUUCAACUGCUACACAAAUCAUCACCAUUCAUUAAAACAUACCACUCAUCUACUUCACCAACCAUACCUACCACACCUACCACAAGAAACUUUAAUGUAUUUGGGCUUGAAUUUGUUUAUUUUGGAUCAAGUUUAUGAUCCAACAUCCACAACACUAGAACGCUUUUCAAUACAUAUAUGCCCAUUUAAUCUAUCCAACAAACCCAUAAAAUUGAACUAUUGGAUUGGAACUCUUAUUUGAGUUCAUAAAUUCACACAAUCAUAAGAAAACAAUAACAAUAACAAUAAUAACAACAACAACAACAACAACAAUAAUAAGAGGAUAAUGAGAAAAAGGUUCUACCUUUGAUGGGCAGUUUAGCUACUAAGCCAGAGAAUGCAAAUUUUGAUAAGCGAAAGAGCUCUGCCUCUGCACUUAAUAUGUAACCCUUGAGUUCUCAAAUUCGGCAAUCGGAUAAUAAAUGGUAAUUUACACCCAAAUGCUUAUUGUAUAGUGAAAAUUCAAAUAUAUCAAAAAAUUUCUAAAUAAAAUCAACUAAGAGUUACUACUAUCACAAUCAAAGCUUUAAAGGAGAAACAAUAAUCAUAUUAGCACCACAUCCUUUUGUUACUUAAGGUUAUUUGGUAACUUCAAAUGACUUUUAGUACUUCUAAAUUCACCUCGAACGGCUACAGCUAAAACCCCCAUCUACUCAUACAGAGAGGAUUGAAGGCAAAUCUUGUAAAAGUUUGCAUUUUUUGUUCUUUUCCUAAGCAUAACAUUAUUUGAAACAAAUUUAAGAACCCUAAAGUUUUAAUAAUUACAGGAGUAAGCGUGAGACUACUUGGCUAACAAAUUAAAAAAUUUCUAAUAAUAUUGUCAAAAUAACGAUCUAUACAUAAGUAAUAAAGGAGAAAAACCCAUUAUUCAAGCAUUUAAAUGUUCGCAUUUGCUCAUUAGGUGUUAAAAUUAAAAUCCGGGUAUUUUGUAGUUGGAUCUUUGUUUUUUGGAAUGAGCUUAAAAACCCAAAUAAGUUUUCGAAAUGUAUCAUUUAAGUUCUUAAAAGAUAAUUAUACCCCUAUAUUUCAAAUUCAUGAUUUAAAAUUAAUUUUAUUUUAUUCUUUUUCGAUAAAUUACUAAUUUUUACGGUGUUAAAAAUCAAACCAUUUACUAAAAUAUUACAACAGAUAAAUGGCCACAAAAUUUUCAAAUUAUUCACAUUAUUUAUUAUAUUUUAUUCUCCGUAACACAUAAGUACCCUUGAAUAUCAGUAAGCUAUUAGUUAUUUUUUUUCCUCUUUCAGCACCAAAUUUCUUACAAUGAUAUACAAUCUCAUCAUUUUCAAUAUACUUUAGUCACAGUUAAAUUUUAUAUGAACGUAAUAUUUUGAAGCAUAGUUGAGCCAAAUAUGUGUAUGUGUAUGUAUGGAUGGAUGUGUGUGUGUGUGUGUGUGUGUAUUAACCUUUCCACAAUCACAUUUUUUCUUCUUUGCUGAUAUCAUUAGGUAGAAUUAGUUUUUCUAAAUGUACUCACAGAAAAAUGUUCUUUUAAUUGUUUUUUCGCAUUAUGCUAUUACAAAUAUUGUUGUUUUAUUUUUAUUCACUAACUAGGCAAAUUUGAAAUAACAUAUCUGUAACAUUGAAAUUUUAAAAGAUUAUAAUUGUGUUUACAUUUAUAUAUGUAUGUGCAUAGGCACAUGCACACAAAUGCAUACGUGUAUAUUACACACCUUUCCCGAUAAAUGUUUUAACAUUUUGCUCAGACCUAGUUCAGACUUCAACAAUUCUAAUAAAAUAAACAAAAUAAGAAAUAUUUUUGGUUUUAUGAAAACAGGCCAAUUGGAUUCAUCUUUUUGUGAAUUUCUUGCUAGGGAUUUAGAUUGAUUAGAGUUUAAGCAUGUCAAAGUUUCCCUUUGUUCUCAUUCCUUGUUAUGUAACAAAUUAUUAUUUGCCAUAGUUCUUUUGUUUCUUUUAUUUUUAUUUGUAUUGUUAUUUUUGUUAUUGAUUUUCCUAUUUUACUUUUCAGAGCAACUCCCCAUGGUUCGAAAUGACACUACGCUGAGCAUAAUCGACCACUUCAGCAAGGAAUGUAUGCCUAAAUCGUGUCUCUUUCGCGAUCCCAGACUCAGUAUCUCGUCACCCGACCCAAUUAAAAACUUCACCGUAUUGCCCAGCCACUUCUGAAAGUCUGUGCAGCUGCUUUCUUCCUAUUUUUCUGCCACUGGUGUGGAGAACUAGAAAUUUUGAAUUUGAUGGUACCUGUUUACUAUUUUAUAACUCGAUCACUACCUCAUCAUCGAUGAUAUUUUAUUGGCUACCACGUUUUCGCGGAAUGGACGCCCUAAUUGUGCCUCUUUUGUUGGCAUCGAUAUGCAGCUCUGGAAAUUUUGUAUUUGAUUGCAUCGAUUAACACCUUUUAGCUACUACCCAUUACUAACAAUGUUAUAUUGCCCAGCAACUUUUGGGAGACGUGUGCUUAAAGUAUGAUGUUGUUUUGCCAAUAACUGUCUCACUGCCCCGUGCUGUAGGUCUUUAAAUCUUGGGGUCAGCUAUUGCACCCUCACCGACAAUGCCGAUGGACCCAUUAGCUGUGUUGACAAUGACAAGGUACUUUUAAUUUUAAAUUUUUUGACAUUAUAAAUAAUUGAUUUUUAAUAAUUAUAUAUAUUUUCAUUUACUAAUAGCCUAAUAAUUAAGUAAAAGGAUGUUUGUUUUUUCACUAGAUGACUUAAAGAGACUUGACUUAAUUAAUUUAGUUAAGUAGAGGUAUUUGUAUUUGUAAUUUAAUGAGACUUUUUAGAUAAUUUUUACUUAAUAAAAUAAGCUAAUUUUUUUGGAAUAGAGAAAUAUGAAUGAGCUAACUAAUUUUCAAUCUAAAAAAUAUCCCUACUAUAUAAAUUAUUUUUCAUGCCUAUUCCAAAACUCACCCAUAAAUAUUUACUCACUAAUAAUUUUAUCUUAUAUUAUGUACUAUUAUUGAGAAGUUGUGAUGAAAUUUGAAACUUAUGGUACUUUAUAUAUUAUGAUUCCAAAACCAUUAUCUAUUCAAUUGAAUAUGUUUUUGCUUAUAUAUGUUGAAGUAUUAUGGUAUUUAUUUUCUUUGGGAUAUAUAUAUACUUUUACAUUUGUAUCCUUAUUAAAUUUGAAUCUCAAAUAAAUAAUAUAUAUAUAUAUAUAUUAUUUAUUUGAGAUUCAAAUUUAAUAAGGAUACAAAUGUAAAAGUACAUUUUUUAGUUUUUUAAGUGGAAAAAACAAACAAUUCAAUACUUAUUUUCAGAGACACUGAGCCAAAAAAAAAAUAUAUUAUUCAAAUUCAGACAUUUAGGUCUACUUAGAAUUCCGAGCAAUUUAGGUCUAUUCAAAUUUUAGAUAAAAAAAUAAAUGCCACUAAAUUGAUUUCAAAAACUAUAUAUGUAGAACCAUGAACCAGUGCGGCACUGGAUUUGGCUCUCCAAUAUCCACUCUAAUCACUUCUUUAUGCUAAAACAACAAUUAAUCAAACUAAUCUUGAUGUAUAUGAUUAAGCUAACCAAGAUAAGCAAAAUGAAUCAAUGAGAGAUCAACUCAAGGCAAAUUUAAAGUGGUUCGGGCAUUGAUGUGCUUACAUCCACUGUGAAAAGAUUAACCAAGCUUUCACUGAAUGAGAGUUUACAACAUACAUAUUUACAGAGAAGAUGUAACUGAAUCAACACCAUGACAUGUCAAAGUGUGAGACUAUAUAUACAAGAAGAGACUAAUCUAGAAAGAUCCCCUAGACGCCGGCACAUGACCCCUGAGCUUAAUAACAAACUCAGCUGCUUCCCGCGCUUGUAGCAACCUUCAACAACCUUUUAAAACUGCCCCUGACCAUGUGUCUACGUCUCAUUAACCUUAUUUGCCGAAACGCCAACCUUCGCUACUGUUUUGGUUAAGAUAUUCACGUGCUUGGCCACAUGUGUUACUAAUGCACGCAACUGAUAUCAAAAGCUUGUCAUACAGCCUCCUUGGAGACUUCAACCGACAUGUCGGUAUAUCUCUAAGUCUACAACUGACUUGUCAUACUUGGUUGAGAGAUCAAAUUUGUAGUUCAUUCUCCAACAAUACGUAUCUAAAAAAAAACAUAUUCAAUAUUAUUUCGAGAGAAAUAAUAAGUACUCUCGAUGUCUAUAUUGUCUCCAAUUGAAUUAUUGACUUGCUCGUGACAAAAUUCUAUAAAUGAGAGAGUGCACAAGCGAGUACUUAAUAUUUUUCUGUGUAUAGAAUCUACCACAAAUUCUUCAUACAAAUUAUAUUUUACAAACAUUUGUGAUGUAAUAGUAUUAGUUCAAUCCACAUAAUCAAUACUAUUAUGCCACUUCAGUGUAAAUACAAAACAAUAUGUGCAAAGAGCUUAUGAUGUUGGUUGAUCAAAUCUAGAAAAAUAAUUUUUCUAUCUAUUAUAAAAUCAAUCAAAGCUAGGAACUUUUCUUGAUUAUGUAUACAUGCACAAGGUUAGAGAAAUACCUUGAUUUCCUGUUGAAGAUCUGAAGAAGACGACUGCAAUCUUUUCCACCACUGUUGUUGGGAUCUAUAGAAUAUGGUUGUAGUCUUCUAUAUUAUCCUCAUCCGUCUCUACAAGUCUAUAUAGGAGAUGGAAAUCCUAGAGCUAUAUUUUUCAUUUUUAACAAAAUCUAUGCGUAAAAUCAUAUUUUCGUUCUAAUUUACUCUCUUUUACAUAGGUAUUUAUUAGAAUCAGAGUUUGACAGGAAUUUAGCUAGUAGAGGAAUUAUAGACCCAUGGGCUUUCUAGCUCCAACUUAAUAGUAAAGGCUUAGUCAUAUCAUGACACAUUGAAACUACUAAGUUAACCCAGGCUAUUCCACUAAAAGUCCAACAUUGCACUCUAGUAAACCAUGUAAUUAAAUAAAACCUAAUUAAUUAAAACUCUUUUUAUUAAUUUUGUCCUUGGUCUUAGACCAAUAAUAACUACUUAAUUGACCCUCUAUUCGACCUCAUAAUUAAAGCUAGGCCAAAGACAAAUGUCAUGCCUCUGUAAUUACAUAGUUAUCCCUAGGUCAAUAGUUGUUCUGGUGAUUACUUUCAAUAUAUCUAUAUUUGUAAAUUAAAUUAAAAUAAAUAUUAUCAUUCAAUAAAUAAUUAAUUAAAUAAACUGUGGCAAUAAAUUUAAAUGAUCAAGUACCACAAAUAACUUGGAUACGCAUCAUUAGUAUAGAUUCCAUCUUGUAAGUAUAUAUUCCCAUGAUCCAUGAAAUUACACCUCAAAGCUAUCGAGGUUUUAACUGUUUAUAUGGAUCUCACUCCAUCACAACUCAAAAGAAGCAAAAAAUGAAAGCGAGUUCAUUACCCACUCAAGUAUAAGGUCAACUAAGCUUAUUAAAGGUUAUGUAAAUUAUAAUCAACGACAUUUGUUAAAUUAGAUCAUAAAUUAGUAUAGUCUAGUUCAAUAUGCUUAUAACAUAUACAUAUUAACUAUUCUACUCCACACCUCCACUUCAGUGAUCAAGAUAAAAUCGUCACAAUAGAAGUAGAAAAUUAUAGCCUUGCGUAUGAAAUGCCCAUUUCAUUAAUAGUUGUGCAUAAUAUUUUAUUUAUAAAGAACUUGUGAUUUAUAUCUUCUAAUAUUGACAUCAUAAGUCCAAUACGUAAAUCACGUACUUUAAGGAUAAGGGUUGAUAAUGUAGUGCUCAAAUAAAGGGUUAAAGCUUAUUUACUCUCUAUAUUUUGAGGUUAAUACCCGUUUAGUCCUUGCAGUUUUAAAAAUAUCUCAAAACAUCCAUGGCGUUAAAUUAUUAACAAUCUUGUCGCUACUAUUUGUUCCUUUUGGCUUGAUUUUCAAAUAUUACAUUCUUACAAUAAUGUUUUUUUUUUGGUAAAAAAAAAUAUAGCUAGAAACUAUAUAAAAUAAAAUGAAGACAAAAGAAUACAUUAAUUUUUUUGGAAGCUCGUGUAUGUCCAAAAAAAUAUAUAUGGUAGGAAAAGUUAAAUUACCAAUUUUUUUGGACAAUAAUAAAAAAAAUAAUAUAUUUACUCAUCAACAAAGUGUUCAGCAGAAAAUAAUAUAUGUUCAUUUUGUUUCUAUUUUAUUUUUAGGCUUAAAUUGGUAAUUUAAUUUAUUUCUUUUAUUAAUGUCCAAAAAAAUGAAACAUUAUUCUAAGAGGAUAAUAUUAUAAAAGUUAGCCAAAAGGAAAAAGAAACAAUGGCAGGAACGUUUUGAGGUAUUUUUAAAAAAUACAGGGCCUAAACGAACUUUGACCCUAAAAUAAAAAAUGAAUAAAUAAAUUUUAUGGAAUUCAGGAAUUUUUGUUUUAUCACUUGCUUUUAGGGCACAAAAUAAAAAUAAGUCUAACAUAUGAUUCUAGCAUUAUUCUUUGUAAAAUACCUUUGCAUGCCAAUACAAACACCAAAAGAUUUUAGUGGAUGUAAUCUGCCUUUUAUGAAUUAUUUUACAUUUUAGAAAACAUUGAGGAUAUAUAAUUAGUAUUUAGUACAGACUAGAGCAACAUUUUAAUUUGUUAAAAUAUUAGAUGCACUUCUACAAGAUUUUCUCUCUAUUGUUGCAAAUAAUACGACAUUACUACCAUAUAAAAUAAGCUAAGCUCAAUCAGCAAUUUCCGGGAUGAAAGUGAUUGACUAAUUUCUUUUUUUCUUCUUUAUGAACAAAGUGAUUUUCAUGUCCUUUGACAUGGUCAUUUUUCUAAUGAAAUUGUAAAAGGAAAGACACAAAGAAUUAGUUAGGAGGUCACAAAUCUGUAUAACUAUUCUAAGUUGUUACCUUAUCAUAUUUUCUUCAUAAUUGUUAAUGAAUUAAAAUCUUUAGAGUUUAUGGUACCUCACUUAGCAACUUUACACACUCGUCUUUAUAGUCGUUAAUGAAUUAAAUUGUUUAGAGUUUAAGGUAUCUCAUUUAGUAACUUUACAGACUUAGGUAGCGUUUGUUUUUUUUUUUUUUUUAAAUCUAAAUGGGUCUGAAUUUUUCUAAAGUCUGAAUAAGUUUGAAUAUGAAAAUCUGAAUGACAUGUUUGUUUUUCUUUUUUUAAUAUCACAAUAUAAAUGACAUCUUGUUUAUUUUUACAGUAAAAAAUAUCUUAAACUUGGUUAUUUGACAUUUAUAUCCUUGUAAAUUAAAAAAAAAAAAGAGGAUUAGAUUUUGUAGUUUAGGAAAUAAGUUAUUUUACUGAAAUAUUUUUUGAAUAUAAUAUUUAAUUGUCAUUCAGAUCUUUUCCCAUUCAGAUAAAAGUCACAAAAGUUCAUUUUUUCUAUUUAGAUGUAAAUAUCGAAUAUCAGACAUAAGUUCCAAAAAAACAAACAAGCAUAUUUUAAAAAAUGUGUGAAAUUAAUAAAAUUUCAGAUUUAAGACAUUUAACAAACAACCUCUUACAUUAAAUUUUGAAAUAUAUGGUAAGUUAACAACUUAUACAGAGAAAUUCUUGACCUUCUACUAAUUAAUUCCACGUGCUUUUCCUCUUAUAAAUUCAUCAAAAAAUGACCGUAUCAGAGCACAGAAAAAUCAUUAUUAAUAAAAGAGAAACCAGCCAAUUACAUUGAUUUUGGAUAUGGCAGGUAAGAAAACCAAAGGGAGAAAAAAGAUUGAGACGAAAAAGAACGAGAAAGAGGAUGAAAGAUUAAUAACAUUCUCUAAACGUAGAUCAGGGAUCUACAAAAAGGCCUGUGAACUUGUGACUCUAACUGGCUCUGAGAUUGCCGUUGUUGUGUUCUCACAAUCUGGGAAGCCAUACACCUUUGGUCACCCCUCCGUCGAGGCUGUUGCAAAUCGCUUCCUUGGGAUGAACCAUCUGCCUAAUGACAACAUUCAUUCGUUGGUUGUAGGUCACCGCCAGGUGAGAAUUAACGAGCUGAAUCAGCAGCAUAAUGAGCUGCGGCGCCAGCUGGAAGAGGAGAAGGAACAGGAGAAGAUAUUGACGCAGAUGAGGAGGGGUAAAGAGACUCAGCCGCGUUGGUGGGAAACCCCAGUUGAUGAGCAUAACCUGCAGGAGCUGCUUUAAAUGGAUUCAGUCGUUGAUGAUCUGCACCAAAUUUUUCUGGCCAAGCUCAAUGAAAGGGCUGCUACUGCUGCUGCCUCCUCCCCCGUGGCACCUUCCUUGUAUUUUCAUCAUAAAUAAUAUACCUCAUUUUCCAUUUGGUUUUUCAUUUGUCUAUAAAAUAUCUGAGGCUACGGGUCCAAAUGAUUAACUUGAUAAUGCUUAGAAACUACCUAUCCUAAAUGCCGAUGAUAUAAUUUGUGAAUGCAAGUUAUUGUUGUGCCUAAAAAUGUGAUAUGGCUUGGUGAGCAUCAUUAGCAGCAAUAUUCAAAGCAAUCUGUCAAUUUGUCCAAGUAAUUUACUUGUUCAUGCUUGGUGAACUAGAUUUAUUUUGAAAACCCCAACUUUCCAAAUACAUCAUCGAGCCAGGUAUUUAAACUAUGUUUAUAAUCACAAGUAGAUAAAUGAACCCUCAAGGAAGUAGGUAGCUACAAAUAUAUUUAAUUUCCUCAAUUUGAAAUUUGAUUAAAAACAAAGAUAAAAGAUUUUUGUGGGCAAUCAAAUGAUAUGAAUGUAUGUGUACGAUUUCGAUGGAGAUAAAAAUCCUUUUCCAUUAAUUAUUAACACGUACCCCAAGUAUUUCUUAUCGAACUCCAGUGAUCGGAAACAAAGUGAAUUCAUGGCCAAUUGUCCUACGCCCAUGAGACGUAUGGUUCCACGAAAUUGUUUAUGACAUAGGGUAAUAAAUAUUUUGACCGUAAAAUCUUAACAAAAAAUUCAAAACUGUUCAGGUAAAAUAGAACUAUAUAAAAAGAGUAAGGUGAGCUUCAAUUCAUUCCCUAAAUAGAAUGAUAAUGUUUAAUAUAUUCCGAAAAAGUGUGAAAACCUCAAUUUACCCCAAUUUUAAUUCAAAAGAUGAUAGAAAACAGCGGGCGCUUUGAAGGGGUGUGUGCAUGUGUGUGUCUAUAUAUAUAUAUAAAUUUUUUAAUUUAGGAUUCUAAGGUGCGAGAAAGUCUGAGAAAACUUUAAAACCCUAUGGUUUUAUAGUGUUAAUUUCACAAUGCUCUAAAAAUGUGCGGUUUUAAAGCUUUCUCAAACUUUUCCAUACUUUAAUAUCACUGACCAAAAAACUACUAUGUGUGUGUGUGUGUUUGUUUGUGCUCGCACGCGCUAAAUGCGAAAAAAUUGAUAUUUUCACACUUUGAUAGAGUAGAUGGAAGAUCGUCAUUUUAAGUAGGUGGUAAAUAUUGUCUCUCUAGGUAGGGGUAAAUUGAAGAUAUAUUUGCAAGAUUAUCGUUAUAAAGAAUUUAACAUAGCAAAAUGGAACUGCGAUUAUGGCACGUUUAUUGAACAAGCCUGUGGAGUAUGAUAGGAUGACGUGACGUAAUCCUAGCAGUAAGAGAGAGAAAGAAAAGAUGCAUAAAGUAGAAAUGCCUUAAAAUCUUCAUUUCAAAAUCAGCCUAAGUUGUUUUUGAACAUCUACCAUUUGUAGGUCUCUCACAUACUCAUACAGAUAGAUAAAUUAAUUGAUGACAACCAAAAGCUUGCAAUUUUUUGUUGUUUUGCCCAGCAUAAUUUCGGAAAGAUUUAUUAAUUGAUGACAACCAAAAGCCUUGAAAUUUUAAUAAUUACUGGAGUGAGCGCGAGGCUAAUUAGGUAACAAAUUAAAAAAAAAUCAAAUAUUGCUAAAAUAAUAAUCCAUAUAUAGAAAUAAUUAAGGAGUAAACCCACAAUCCAAGUAUUAAAAUAUAUGCACUUCCUUAUUGGGUGUCUAAAAUGGUGGGAAUAUUUCCAAUCUGCAAGUUGGGUAUAUCCAUCCCAUUGUAGAUAAUUAAUUUUAAAAAACUCAAUUAAUAAAUAAAAAUAAUUUAAUCUUAAUAAUAAUAAUAGUAAUAUUUUUAAUAUUUACAAUAACAAAUAUUAAAAUUUUUUUAUAAUAUUGAAAAUAUAUUAAAAUGCAUCUAUUAUUUCAUUUAUUUUAAUAUUAUAUUUCUAAUAAAAUAUCGGAAAUAAUUUUUUGGGUUGAGAGAAACAAUGGUAUAAUUUUAAAAAGGGAGUCUUGAUGUCACUUGUUGAAAAUAUAGGGGCUACAUUAUCAUUUUUCUAAACCUUGGGAGUGUAGCCAAAUUUUUCUUUCAAAUUGAGCCCAAAAAAUUUUAUUACAAUCAAUUUUUUUUUUCUUCUUAAUUUGCUUAUUCCAUUAUGUACAAUUAGUUGUUUCAAGUAUGUUUGGAGAAAAAUGUUCUUUUAAUUGUUUAUGGCAUUAUGCUAUCCCAAAUAUUAUUGUUCUAUUGUUGUUCACUAACUAGGCAAAUUUGAGUUAAACUUAUCUGUAACAUGCUUCAAUUAGUGACCAUGAGAGCCCGAGUUAGUAAUUUUUAAAAGAAUAUAGUUGUAUUUACAUUUAUGCAUAUUACACAUACAAGCGCGCGCAUAAGCACGUGUAUUUUACGCGCUUUUCCCUAUAAAGAUUUGACAUUUUCCUUAAACCCGGGUCAAGUUUCAACAUUUUUAGUUCUAGCAAAAUAUAAGAAUUAUUUAUUUAGUUUUAUUGAAUUGGGUUCAUCUUUGUGUGAAUUUCUAGGGUUUUUAUUGAUUAGGUUUUAACAUGAAAAUUAUGAUUAAGAAUCAAAACAAACAGACACGCUUGCAAAUCCAAAAAGCUAGCCAGUGUCAAGCAUGUCAAGUUUUCCCUUAAUUCUCAUUCCUUGUUAACAAUUGAUAUGGUUCUUUUCUAUUGUUUAUAUUUUUAUUUUUGUCAUUGAUUUUCCUAUUUUACUUUUCAGACUUCCCCCCCAAGAUUUGAAGAUGACGCUAAUUGAGCGAUCGACCACUUUUGCAAGGUAUAUGAGAUUUAAUUGUACCCUGUUAUGCCCAGUCACUUCCGGAGGCAUGUAUGCCUACAUCUUGCCUCUCUUUAUAAGUAAUUUUUCAUUCAUCCUAUUCACUGUUCGUCUUUCGUUGGCAUGGACUUGUAGUUCACGAAAUUUUACAUUUGUUGGUAUCCAUAUAACGCUGCUCAGCCACUAAACUUCAUUGACAAUAUUAUGUUGACCUACAACUUCUGGGAGAAAUGUGUGCCUGCAUCAUGCUGCUAUUUUGCCUAUAACAAUCUCACUGUUUUGUAGAUCUAUAAAUCUCAUCGCCAGUCAUUGCGCCAUUCCCAACAGUACCAACAGAGCCAUUAGUUUUGUUGACGAUGUCACGGUGCUUUUUUUUUUUUCAAAAUUAUAUUACAUCAUUAAUAAUUGAUUUUUAAUAAUAAUAUAUUAUAUUAUUUACUGAUGGCUUAACAUCAGUUAAAUUGAUUUUCAAAAAUUAUAAGUAUUUUAACCAAAAAAACAUGUUCAGUAGUUUUUUAGUUUUUUAAGAGAAAAUAGUAAGUGCUUUCGACGUGUAGAUUGUCUCUAGUUGAAUUCUUAACUCAUGCAUGUUUGCCAUGAAAAAAAUUCAAUAGCAGAGGGAAUACACAAGAGAGCGCCUAAUAUUUUCUCAUAUGUAGAAUUUACCACAAAUUCUCUGUACAAGCUAUUUAAUUUAUACAAAUAUUUGUGGUAUAACAGUUAAAGUUGAAUGGAAAUAUCACAUGAUCCAUAUACUUGAUAAUGUUAUUCCACUUUAGUUUGUACACAAAAUAGUUUAUACAAAGAGUUUAUGAUUCUAGCAUUACUUUUAGUAAAAUAUGGCAUAUGUGUACAUAUCAAUAUGUACGCCAUAAGUUUUUUGUGAACGAAAUCUUAUUUUCAUUAGUUUGUUUUAUAUUUUAGCGGACAAUGAGGUUGUUAAUUAGUACAAACUAGAGUAACAUUUUGAUUUGCAAAAAUAUUAGAUACAUUUUUAAAAAUUUUCCCUUUUUUGCCGAAUAUAUAUGGCGCAUUACUACCAUAUAUAAUAAGCUCAAUGAAUUUUUUUUGGUUGCCAUUUCCAAAAUGAAUGUGCUUGCCUAAUUUAUUUUGUAUGAGCAGUACAGUGGUUUUCAUGUGCUUUGAUGAUAUGAUAACUUUCUGGUGAAUUUAUACGAGGAAAGACACAAAGAAUUAGUUAGUAAGGUCAUGAAUUUAUCUAUUCCUAGUGGUUACCUUAUCCUAUUUUCUUUUUAUAUAAUUGUUAAUGAAUUAAAUUCUUUGGGGUUUAAUGUAUCUCAUUCAGUAAUUUUACACAUUGUAUUAGAUUUUGAAAAACAUGGUAAGAUAAUAAGGUAACAACUUAGUAAGAUAAAUUCUUUACCUUAUACUAAUUAAUUCUACGCGUCUUUCCUCUUAUAAAUUCAUCCCAAAAUGACCAUAUCGGAGCACGGGAAAAUCAUUGUUCAUAAAAAAGAAACUAGCCAGAUAUCAUUGAUUUUGGAAAUGGCAGACAAGAAAACCAAAGGGAGACAAAAGAUUGAGAUGAAAAGGAUUGAGAAUGAGGAUGGUAGGUUGAUCACGUUCUCAAAACGUAGAUCUGGGAUCUACAAGAAGGCCAGUGAGCUUGUGACUCUCACUGGCUCUGAGAUUGCCAUUCUGGUGUUCUCACAGUCUGGAAAGCCUUUCUCAUUCGGCCACCCCUCCAUUGAAGCUGUUGCAAACCCCUUCAUGGGGUUGAACCAGCCAGCAAAUGACAACACUCAUCCGCUGGUUGAGGCUCACCGCCAGGUGAGAAUUAAUGAACUCAAUCAGCAGCAUAAUGAGCUGCUUCGCCAAUUGGAUGAGGAAAAGGAACGGGAGAAGGUGUUGAAACAGAUGAGGAGGGGGAAAGAGACGCAGCCGCGUUGGUGGGAAACCCCAGUUAACGAGCUCAACCAUCAGGAGCUGCUUCAAACGGAUGCCACAAUUGAUAAUCUGCAUAAAACUUUUCUUGCCAGACUCAAUGAAAAGACUGCUGCAGCCUCUUCCUCUAUGGCACCUCCUAUGUAUUUUCAUCAUAAAUAAUAUUUCAUAUUUUCCUUUUGAUUUGGUAUUUGUCUAUAAAAAAUCUGAUGAAGCUGCCAGUCCAAACGAUAAACUUGAAAAAUGAGAAUGCAACUUACUGUUGUGUCCAAAAUUGGAUAUAAAAUGCUAAACAAAACUAUCAACCGUGAGAAAUAGAAUUUUCACCAUGACGGCAAAUGCCUAUGAUAUAAUUUGAGAAAAAAAAAAUUAAUUGAUGUGCCCUGGAUAUAAUGGAGCUUGCUAUGUUACGGAUUAUGUAACAUACACACCCAAUGGUUGGCAGCCAUGUGUCCUGAGGAGAGAGAAAAAGCAUUGAAAUACAAGCAAUGGGAGUCGGCAGCCACUGGAUCUGUAAGUAACAUGAUCCGUAAAUUAGCCAACUCCGGAUGUAAUUAAUCAGGUCAGAAUCAUUAGCAAUCAUACUCAAGUUAAUUUGUCGUUCAAAGUAAUUAUUAAGUGAAUAGUAGUCAUACACAAAUUAAUCUGUCGUUCAAGUAAUUAUUAAUUGAUUCGUUUUUUCAACGACAUCAUCGAGAUAUUCAUAAAUCAUGAUAGAAAGUAAAUAAAUAUAUUCCCCAAAAAAAAGUGGGUCGUCUAUGAAGUCUAUUUAAUUUUAAAUAUAUUUGAAAUUCCUCCGCUUGAAGGAGAAAGGAUCAAUGGCACCUUCAAAUCACACAAGUUUAUGCUACAGAUAUAAAAUAAGGAAUAUAUUGAAGAACUUUUUAUUCCAAAAUUAAAUAGGAUUUUCUUUUUUUUUUUUUAAAAGUUGAGAAGGGAGAAUAUGGAAAAAAUCAUAGAAAUUAAUGGACAAAAACUAAUGUUCCAUGUAAUUUAAUAUUUAUAUAAUCUUCAAUCUUUGAUCUAAUGGUUAAAAAUUCGUGUAAAACCUGGGUAAUUUUAAGGGUCAUUAAUCCAUCCUUUGUUUGAAAUUUGAUUAAAAACAAAGGAAUGUAGUAGGUAAUCAAAAUAUACACAGGUAAACACCUAUACACACACAAGUUAGGGAUAGAAAUUUCCUCACACGAUCAGACAAAACGCACUCAUCUUCAGUUUCUCGAUCAACCGCCCUCUGUGCAGUCAAGAGCUCAAGUAGCAACAUACCAAAACUAUAAACAUCACACUUCUCAUUGCAGUCACCUGUUGCAAUGUAUUCAGGGGAAGAUAUCCAAAUGUUCCCACUACCCAGCCUCUUAUGCGUGUUUCACCAUCUGGAAUAGAUACAGAGCACGAAAAAUCAAACAGUUUGGCAACAGAUUGUUCUUGGAAUAAAAUAUUCGAUGGUUUUACGUUUCUGAAAAAAAUAGGCCUGGAGAAACCAACAUGGAGAUAUGCAAUUCCAUAAGCUAUCUCCAUUGCAAUCUUUAGCCUCAGUGUCCACGUGACAGGUUCAAAAUUGGGUUGACGAGCAUGAUAAAUACGAUCAGCAAGAGUUCCAUACUCAACAUUUUCAAACACCAAAACAGGAUUUUCAGUUUCUAGACAGCAUCCAAUCAGCGUCAUCACAUUCUUGUGAUUCAUUUGUGAUGCAAAUACAAAGUUAUUAAAACAAAAUUCAGCUGCAUAGUCGGAGUUUACAAAUUUCAUGAUAGAAACAGGAUAGUCAUGCAGAACACCCUCGAAUAAUUCAUAGCCCAA
rnacentral:lncRNA from 1 species